UUUUUUUUUUUUUUUUUUUUUUUGUUUGGCAUCUUGUCUUUCAGAUUCUUAGAAAUGUCAAUCUUCUCUGAUUCCAUCCCUUAACUUCGUCCUUUCUUCUCUGAUUUUCAUUAUGAAAUUGUUAUGUACGACAUCAGUAUUAAAGAAUGAGUUUGUAGGAAAUAGUGAAAUUAAUAUAUGUCAAUUGCGAUGCAACAAUUUGGUCAGUUGUGCAUUGUGUCUUGAAGAUCCAAUCCUUGUUAUUGACUAGAAAGUCAACUUGUUACAGGCCAAAGACUACGGAAGCUGUGUUGCAUCUAAAGUCCAUGAGGUUGAAAGAGACAUAUGUUUGAAAGAGUUUCUUGCACUGAAGAGUUGUAUGCAGCAUACGGUAUAUUGAACUUUAUUGCUAGGGGCUUGUCUCGAUCAUUUUAGACUAAUCUGUUCUACUAUCAUGUUUUACUUUUCCUUGUAGAUCCGGGGAAAGGCUUGAAUCACAAUUAUAUUCUCCUUCUCGUUAGAGGCAUUUAUCAGCACUGCUUGAAGUUUUAACAUGUACGCCUUUCCUUUUUAUUUUCAAAUCCUUGUGAAACAAUUCUGAGUUAUAGUCUGUGAUAUGUUUUUUUAUAGAAACUUUAAGUGACUCAGUCCCAUUAUAAAGUGGGAAAUCUAUUUCAUAACAUUUCAUUCUGGACUACAGUUUGGUUCCUUUGAGAAAUUUGGAAAACUGAAAAGUUUGAAUAUGUCUAGCAGGAUGUCAAUUUCACAGGCAAGUGUUGGUUCUGGUGCUUUAUCACAUGUGUAUAUACAUCAUCCAGCCCUACGUUGCAAUAUUCCUGAAUCCAGGGGGUUGUUCUAUGAUGAUGCCAACAGAUUGCUGAUAUGUACCACAUCUAGUCAGGUGUUUUUUUCUUUUCCUUUGAAAUGUUUUAUAUGAUUUUGUUUCAACCGUAAUUGUUAUCUUCCAUUAGCCUGAUGAUCCAUAUCCUUUUCUGAUUUCUCAAUUUUUUUAUUUAGGUCUUUUCAUGGGAAACAUCCCCCUUUAAUCCAGACGUACCUCCUUCAGUUGAUUCUAUAAAUGAAGGGCCUAUUCUGUCAAUCAGAUUUUCUCUUGAUAAAAAAGCGAUAGCUGUCCAAAGAUCUGAUUGUGAAGUACAGUUGUUUAAUCGAGAGACCAAGAAGAUACUAAACCACAAAUGUAAGGCAGGAUCAGAGAGCAUUCUCGGAUUCUUUUGGAGUGACUCUCCAUUAUGUGAUCUUGCAAUUGUAAAGACCAGGUAAAACUUGCUUUAUUUCUGCAUAUUAUCACUACAGAGAAAUGUUUCCAAUUCUGAGAUUGCUUGCAACUUUUGCAGGUGAAUUUUAAAGACUGAUUUGUCGUAGUUGAGAAUUCUAAUAUCUUGUUUAAACGGGAAUCUAUUGGCUUGUUAAGCUUGCAUUUUAGAAUAGUUGUAUCAUUUGACUUGGUAUUUCUAAGGCAAAUGGCACUUUCAGAAUCUGAUAAUUGGGUUUGCACAUUCCUUUCUCUAUAGAGCAACCUAUACAUAGUUAUUUCUGUCUUCAGCUCGUCUAUUUUAAGAUAUAUUUUCAACAUUUCGUUUAUCAUUUGUCUUUCUCUUACUUUUUUCCACUAAUGAAUUUUUUUUUUUGGUCUCAGUGGCAUGGACUUGUUCGCUUGUGAUUCUGUGUUGAAUUCACUACGUUUGGUGGAAACCAAAAAGGCGAAUGUGAAUUGGUACACCUAUACACAUGAAACUCGAUUGGUUCUUCUUGCAUCAGGAUUGCAAUGCAAGACAUUUAAUGGAUUUCAGGUAACACCUAGAAAAGUACAAUAAAAAAAUGGAUUUUGCUAUGUGAAAGAGCUUUCCAAACUUCAUUUACUUAUGGGUUGCAUCCAGUUAAUUUGAUGUUAUUGGCCUUGAGAUUAUAUGCUAGAGUUUUCAUUCAGUUUUUAUGGUUGAGUUAACAAUUAUAUAACUUAUUGAAUGCUUCUUUCAAACAAUUGUGAUUGGAGCUUUAAAAUAUGAUCCAUUUUCCAGCUUUCCACUGCAGGAGUUGUUCGUUUACCAAGAUUUGAGAUGACCAUGGCUAGAUCUGAAUCAAACAGUAAACCUAUUCUCUCUGCUGGAGAUCUCCACUUAGUCACUGUGUAUGAUUCUUCUCUGUGUUCCUCGUUUCCUCCUAUUUUCUUAUCGCAUUACGUACCUGGAGAGUAAAUCUGUAUCAUUCUCUUUCAGCUAUGGCCGAAUAUAUUGCUUACAAGUGGACAGGGAGGCAAUGCUACUGCAUCUAUACAGGUUUUACCGAGAUGCAGUUGUUCAACAAGUAAGUUUGCUUCUCCUUAGUUCCUGAUAUCUGGUUAUUCAGAUGGUAUUCAGACAAGUCUACUAUAUGUUCAAUAGAGAUCAUGUGUGCAUUAAGAUCAGCAAACUUCUAAAAUUGAAAAGUUGCAAGUUCAUAGGUAAAUCAUUGCACAUGAGUUACUCUAAUUGCAACUGCAAGAGGAGCGUAACCUAUACGUAGUUGAUGCUAAUAUUACUUUUUUCUUUAGUUAUGUUACUAAUUUGGCACUGCAAAACAACUUAUCUUGUGUUCUGGACAUGAGAUCAUUUUUCAAAGUUCUGCUUUUUAUAUGUUCAUUUCAUUGGCUCUUAUUUACAGGGUUCUUUACCAAUAUACUCAAGCACAUUGUCGGUGAAUGUGGUCGAUAAUUUAUUGCUUGUGCACCAAAUCGAUGCAAAGGUUGUCAUCAUCUACGACUUAUUUGUGGAUUCUCGAGCUCCUGUAUCUGCGCCUCUUCCUUUGCUGUGGAGGGGUUACCAAGGCUCUGACACAUCGUCUCAAGCUGCUAACAAAGAAAUUGAGAGCUCAGAAUCAUCUACAAGCAAUGAAAACAUUGUCAUGUAUGAAGAUGGCUGGACCUUUCUUGUUCCAGAUCUUAUUCUGGAUCAGACUAACAAGGUUUUAUGGAAGAUACAUUUGGAUCUUGAGGCAAGUUGGCUUUCAUUGGUUUAUGCAGAUGACAGUUAAUUCUUAGAUAUUUCGCAAAUGUUCAGUAUUUAAUAUUAUGUGCUGUAGGCAAUUUCCGCUAGCAGCUCAGACAGGACGUCUCUUCUAGAAUUCCUGCAGCGAAGGAAGUUGGAAGCAAAUAAGGUCCCAAACUUUCUGUUGAUCUGUGUUUUAGAUAGGAGAUUAAAGUAUUGCUCCAACACAAAGAUAGGAGUUUAAAUAAGCAUGAUGAAGCACCUGUUUGUAGCAGCAAACCGUUAUGUCGAAUAAAUCAUAGACAAUUGAAAAAUAAUCUUGGAACUUUAGUUACGGUUUUUGCGCACUUAGCGAAGGUUAUAUGCAAGUCUAAACUUAGGAAAAAACUAGUGCUUGUUUCCAUAUCUAAUGGUUUGCAACGGUUCAUGACUCUUUUUUUAUGAUUACGUGGAUUUAUAGUGUCUCCAGGAAAGAUGGUUCACUCAAAGUGUUCGGCGUCAUGGUGUAGUAAUCGUGGUUGGAUCUUUUGAUGGUGUUGUUAUAUAAUAUUGUUGAGUAUGUUAUUUCAGGCCAAACAAUUGUGCUUGGGGAUAGCAAGGGAUAUUAUUUUGGAACGUCGACCAGCAACCCAGGUAACUCAGGCAAUCGAUGUACUAGUCACAGCAUAUUCGUACUCGGUUAAAGCCGGUACAUACAAGGAAAUAAAAAACGAAAAGGCCACUGCAUCUACUCCAACCGCUGGUGCAUCUCCUGGUAAACCUUUGAACCUGAAAAUGUUGAUUUAUGCAUGAAUACGCUAAAAGAAUAACAAUCUCUUAACACAUCUUCGCCACUUAUCAACCUUUGAAUUCUGAAGAUAACGAAAGACAUAGGCCGUCUGGAAGCAAUAUUGAUGAAGAUGUUGAAAUGAACCUAUCAUCUGGUUCAAAGGAGAACAUGUUUUGUGCUAAUGAGCAGCAAGAAUCUCAACUUUCUUCACCGGCAAUUUCACCCGAUGAGCUCUACAAGUUUGUAUUUGCUUCUGUUGAGGAAAUGAUGGUUGAGGAAUCAGAGUACCUAGUUGCUAUCAUCACCGAGUUCCUUCGCAGGUAAAUUAACUUUUUUCUUCCGUCUAUUUGUGUUUCCAGACUAAAGAAACGUGGUUUUGCCUUAGAUCUAGUUUCAGUUUACCAAUUCCGCCUUUCUUACUUUGAUUCCAUUGGUGUAGUAUAAGUGCAGAAAAACUCAAAGUGGAUUUGAAUAUCUAUGUGAUGACCAUCAGACUUUUAGCUUACAGUAAGCGAUUUGCAGAACUGUCGCUAUUCACCACAAACAAGGUUUGCUAUUAUUCUUUAUCUGUGAAGACAAAACCUCUAAAGUUUCUUGUUCAGAGUUAAGGCUACAUUUAUGUGCAGAUAAUCGAACCAUCAAAGGAAGUUGCCUUCCAACUUCUCGAGAGUGGUCGCCAAAACCAAAAUAUCCGGGUAAGGAAACUUGGGCUUGAUAUGUUGAGACAACUCUCCUUGCACCAUGAUUACAUCUCUUGCCUUGUGCAAGAUGGAUACUAUCUUGAAGCUCUGCGAUAUGCUCAGAAGCAUAAGGUAUAAUAUCUUAACAGAUCAAAAGUACACUAAAUAUGGUUUUGGUUUGAUUUAUUCGGUGUAUGCAAAUUGCAGGUGACGACUGUGCGAUCGUCGCUGUUCCUAGAAGCAGCAUUCGCGUCGAAUGAUAUGCAGCAUUUGGCUGCAAUUUUGAGGGUCUUGUCGGAAUUGAUUCCUGGGUUUAAAGAAACUUCCGAAUAUUACACUUUUUAUGGCCUUCUCAAUGACACCAGUUCCUCAGUUGGUGUCUGAAGAGAAUCAAUCUGUUACCACAUUCAAGAAAUCUAAAUAGUCUUUUUGGUUCGUAACUGGAGCUUAAUAAAGAAUUGUUGUUGGUAAUAUUCCAAUUUAUGUUCUGGUUCCUCUAAAAAGAAUAAUGACAAGUUUUUUCCUUAAAAUUCUCAAGCCGGUUUUGUUUGGUAAUGCUAAGAUUUUUUGAAUUGGUGGUAUAGUCUGUCAAAUUAAGAAAACUAAAAAGGUUGGUUUUAACGACAGGAAACGUAAAUUAAAUCAAACCCGAAAUGAGAUACAAUUUUACUAAAUGGAUUAAACAUCUCUUUUUGUUUGGUUUGAUUUGAUAUAUUCAACAUAAUUUGUCUAAACACUGUCCUCUCCAAAUUGUUUGUUAAACUUUCAUUUUUUUUGUAGGUCCAAGCUGUGACUAAGACACUUCAAUGUACUAAUUAUCUCUGUAACUCAAUAUUUUUUUCUUCAUUAAGUAGUCUCGUGAAUCUCAAUUGGAUGGCAAUAAAUAAAAACAAAAUCCUUCCCAUCAAACUGCCAAAGUCAAAGUCAAGAUUUUAGACACUUCUUUUAUUCUCUCCAGCUUAAGAAAAAAAAAGAGGAAAAAAAUCGUCACUCUCUCUCCUAACUGUAUCCGUGAAGGCAAAAAAUACGUAUAAACAGAUACGUACAGAAAACGUAAGUAUGUAAGUAUACUCGUCUACCUUUCUCUCUCAGCUGUACCUUUUUAUGAUGGUGUUUUUGUUUACGAGAAAACCAAACCCACACAAUUGAAUUGAAAAUUGCGACUUUCGAUUUAAAACUCUCUUUAACUACAAUCGCUAUCCACGAACAAUCUGAUUGAUUCUCUCUCUCUCUUUAUCUCUUCUCUUACCUUUUCAAUACGAUUUCGGAUUUUGAGCUGCGAUGCUUCUUUGAUUCACUUGAGGUACUCUUUUUCUCUGUCUUCUUAUAGAAGUUUCUAAAAUGCCGUUAGGUUUCCGAGAAAUCCGGUGCUCUUACAUAGUAGCGAUGAUUGGGGUUUUUUGAAUUGACGAUUUCGUGUUAUUGUUGUAGCUUCUCUGCGAUUAUGAUUCUCUGGUUUCAUUUACGUCAUCGCUCAUUCUUUAGCUGUUUUCAUCGCUUUUUGCCCCAAUUUUUUUAAUUGCAACUUUUUUUUUUUUUUUGUGUGUGGCUUCGGCAUGAACUGUGAGAAAAAGCGAGGGUCCUACUGCGUAAGUUUAGGCUUUUAACUUUAGUGUUUAUUGGUCGAAUUCACUUUUAGGCAAUUUUAAUUUCAUGGAAAGCUAGAGACAACCUUAAUGCAAACUGCUUACUUUUUCAUGGUUUUUAGUGUUGUUAGAGCUGACGAAACAAAACUUUCUAUAAUUAGUUGGAUUAGUGAGUUUGGUCAUUUCCUUCAUCUCUCAGCAAGUCAUUUCUUGACAUGUUUGGAACACUCAUUGUUGGACACUGCUUGAGAAAUCUAAUCCCCUAAAUUUGAGUUUGGAGCUCCGUUCAUGAAUAAGUGACGCAAUUUUUGUUGUUGGACACUCUUCCCGAGUAUGGAGGUGUUAAACUUGAGGGUUUAUCACUGUUUAUUGAUUGUUUUUUUUCGUGUCUCUAUUCAGUGUUUUGGAGUUUUGACUACGACUUGUGAUGGCAUCUAGACAAGGAUCAAAGUCGAGAAAAGCAGGGUUAAAGGGUGCUGAUUCUACUGCAUCUUCGACAACCUCGUCUUCGAAGCUUUAUCAAGAGACAUCUAUCGAUGGCCAUAGCUCCCCUGCUUCUUCAUCUGCUCAAAGCAAGCAGCAGUUUUUCUCACCAGAUUCCUUACCACAAAGUGCUCAGCGGUCUAAAGAAAACGUCACAGUGACAGUUCGCUUUCGCCCACUCAGGUUCCUGGUGAUAUGCUUACAUAGGCUUGCAAAAAUUAGGUUGAUGUUUGUUCUGUGUAUUUGACAUACCUUAUCCUUGACGUAGUCCAAGGGAAAUUCGCCAAGGGGAGGAGGUUGCAUGGUAUGCAGAUGGGGAAACAAUCGUGCGAAAUGAGCAUAAUCCGACAAUAGCUUAUGCCUAUGGUUAGUCUUAACAUUUUGAUUAGUGCAAUUGGUUUCCUAAUCAUCGUAAAUAUUGCAUGUGGGCAUUACAUCACUCAAGAAUAACAAACUAAGGAUUAUAGUAUUAUUCUUAUGUGGUAUACAUUUCAACUUCUUGUGAUGUCUUAAAGAUUGAAGAACGUGAUUUAAUUGGAUACUCUUCCUCAGUUGAUGUUUGGAUCUUGCAUGAUGUUUUCUUGAAAUGGUCUUUCUGUCAGUUAAUGAUUUAUUCUCCUUUUUGCAGACCGAGUCUUUGGACCUACAACCACAACACGCAAUGUCUAUGAUAUUGCUGCACACCAUGUUGUUAAUGGGGCUAUGGAGGGGGUAAAUGGUAUGAAUCGAACAGUUUUAAUGGCCAAUCUAGUUUGUAUUAAGAAUUCAAUUUCUAAUUUGACUCAUUUAUGGAAGAGCAUGCAAUUUUCCAUAUUCUUAUGUUGAAAAACUUAGUUCUGCGAUAUUGAUCAUUUAAGCUAUAUCAACAAGGCUUAUCCUAAUUCAAAAGAAUCAUGAAAAGAUACUCAUGAGUGAGAUUUUUGACGUAGCUGAACUAAUGAAUGUUAAAAUCUUCAGACUAAUUUGACUUCAAUGUGCUUACCACUUGAUUUUAAUAUGGUGACAUUGAAUGUUAAUCCAACUACAGGGACGAUUUUUGCAUAUGGAGUGACAAGCAGUGGAAAGACACACACAAUGCAUGUAAGAUCCCUUCAUCUGGAUACUUAUUAUUCUUCAGCUUGUUACAUAAAAGAAAGUAUUUUUGGUAUAUCUUCCUACAAUGUAGUUCAAUGUGUCAUUAAUAAGUCUCAUAUUUAUAUCUUUCGCCUCUGACUAGAUUACUGAGCUGAUAGAUUUGGUUGAUGUUUUUGGUCCAUAUGUCAGGGUGACCAGAGAUCUCCUGGUAUUAUACCACUAGCAGUGAAAGAUGCUUUCAGCAUCAUCCAAGAGGUACUUGUUAGGAUAUUGUUUUUUUCAUAUUCCUUGGCCCAAGUACUAGCGACCUCACAUAUUUAUUUUCUUACAGACUCCUAAUCGAGAAUUUCUUCUGCGUAUUUCCUACAUGGAAAUAUAUAAUGAGGUGCUAUUAUUUACCUACUUUUCUUCUCUGCUCCGUUGUCUAUAGUCAAUUUCAACAGUAGUGGAGUGAUAAGAAUACGCUGCUUUUAAUUUUCCUUAGGUUACUAUCCUUAAGGUUCACCUUAUUUCAGGUUGUCAAUGAUUUGUUGAAUCCAGCAGGACAAAAUUUGAGGAUCAGAGAAGACAAGCAGGUGUGUUUCAGCUUCAGGUUCUCUUUGUUUCUUUUCUGUUGGAAACAUGCGUAGUGCUGCUCUCACUGACUUGUAAUAUCUUUGUUGUGAUUACAGUGGUCAUAGAAUCCCAAAACCUUCGCAUCAUAUUUUUAUUUAUUAGGAAACCAUUUUAAGCCGCCUGAAAAAAAUACUGGUUCCAUUUAUCUUGUGAAAUUGAUCUCUAUGGGGACUCUGCUAUGACAAUGUUAUAUGUGGCCCUUCGUUUCAUUGCGAUGUUCUGGGUCACAUUGCUUAUUCAAGCACCCUUAGUUGAUCCUUUUAAUAAUCAUUUGAACUAAGUAUUUUAUAAUGAACUUGUCAUGACUUUUAUUGCUACAAGUGUCUUUCUCCAAGUUAUUCAAUUGAACUCAUCUUUGUUAUUGACUCUAGGGAACCUUUGUCGAAGGGAUUAAAGAAGAAGUUGUUUUAUCCCCUGCUCAUGCGCUUUCUCUUAUCGCAGCUGGAGAAGGUAUGUGGUGCUUCCACUUUCCCUUUUUUUCAAAGAAUAGGUUUAUUUACUUGACAACCAUACAACUCCAGAAAAGACUGUUGCAGUCGUUGUAUAUUUAUUAAAAAAUUAUUUAUCAGAAAGUGUACUCCUCUACCUGCUUGAGGCUAUACUUAUCGUUGAAAAGUGUGUUUUUGUUUUUCUUUAUUAUGAUAGAGUAAUUCUCUCUUUCUUUUUUCCAGUAAAUCCCUUUCAUUCUUAAACCUUGACACGUUAUAGUUAAAUCUCGUCAUCGUUUGUUUAUCAUUUAACGCAUAUUGAUAGAGAUCUUGUCCUCAUGACAGAGCAACGACAUGUUGGAUCUACAAAUUUUAAUUUGCUCAGCAGCCGGAGCCAUACAAUAUUUACGUUGGUAUGUUAAUAUUCUCUUUGAAAUAUUAAAAACUGGUAUCUUUGUGCAGUUGCUAUAUCAUUUCAUCACGUGAUUACAUUUGUGAUAUGGAUGGAUGCACACAAAAUCUAAGUUUCUUUUGUAUUACUAUUAGGUUAAAAGGUAAAAGUCAGUAGUUCUUUUAUUCCUACAAUCGUCUUAGUGCUUUAAAAUGGAAUACUGAAGAACUAUACUUUUUUUUUCAGCACAAGUUGUGUAUUAUGUUCUUCUUCCAAAUGUUUUCUUCUGUUCAAGGAAUUACUGUUCUCCUUUAUUUUAAUCCUAGUUGUUUAGUCACAUUAACUCAUAUAGCUGUACUGUUUCUGAAAGAUGAUCAACUAAUUUGGAUGCAGACGAUAGAAAGUAGUCCCUUAGGCGACAAGAGUAAAGGUGAAGCGGUACACCUCUCACAACUGGUAGGUUCAUCUUGUAUCCAGGGAUUUACUGGUUAUGAUCAAUCCUUUUAAUAUGUUUAUUAGUUGCAUCUUCUGACAGUUAAAAAGGUGAACAUCUGAUAUUAACUACCCAUAAUUUCUCUCAUAUCUGCAGAACCUCGUUGAUCUGGCAGGUUCCGAGAGUUCAAAGGUUGAAACUAGUGGUGUAAGACGCAAAGAAGGAUCAUAUAUAAAUAAAAGUUUGUUGACGUUAGGGACUGUAAGUUUUUUCCUACCACAGUUUUCACUUAGUUUUUUUGGUGGAAACAGUUUUCACUUAGUUAACAAUAGGUUUUGUGGUUCAGUUAAAAUCCAAGGACUUCUUUGACAUUUUCUUUAAAAGAAGGUCUGAUAAUAGGAUUUUUUUUUUAUGUUGUAUAAAUAUUAAGCACACUUUCUACCCCUCUAUAUUUUGAGACUUGCAGAUCAAACAUAUACUUACAUACAUAACUUGAGGUCUUUUACAGUUUAGACUUUUAGUACUUAGCCUGUUCAUCUGUAGAAUCACCUUUCCGCAUUUGCAUGAUUUUGCUUGCUACUCUUAUCUCCAAUCUGUUCUUGUCCAAACCUUACAAUUAAACAGUUGUCUAGUCUUGUUUUUAUCUUGGUUUUUGCCUAUCUGGUCAUGUUUUAAGUAUUCUCCUCUGGGCUGAAUUUUGUUAGUUCUGUUGUAAAAUUAUAGGUGAUAUCAAAGCUUACGGAUGUGAGGGCUUCACAUGUACCAUACAGAGACUCUAAGUUAACAAGGAUCCUUCAAUCCUCAUUGAGUGGUCAUGACCGAGUAUCUGUAAGUCUUGUUUAAGCUGUUCCCAAUCCUCGUGCUACAAUAAGUAUAAAAUGCACAACGUGAUUAUUAGCACAUAUCUUGAUAGUAGUAUACUUUACUGAUUAGUUUUUCUCUCUGGAUAUGGUAGCUCAUUUGUACAGUCACUCCUGCAUCAAGCAGUUCAGAAGAAACACACAACACAUUGAAAUUUGCUCAUCGUGCAAAGCAUAUUGAGAUUCAAGCUGAACAAAACAAGGUUUUCCACGCAUAUCUUCUUUCAGCUCUUAUCUUUUGUACUGAAUGCCUUUCUUGGUUUCUAACACUAUAAAACUGUAGAUAAUUGAUGAGAAAUCAUUAAUCAAGAAGUACCAACAUGAGAUUCGUCAACUGAAGGAAGAGUUGGAACAGCUUAAACAGGAAAUUGUACCAGUUCCUCAAUUGAAGGAUAUUGGUGCAGAUGAUAUUGUUCUCCUGAAGCAGAAGGUAUGCUCGAAAUACUUGACUUUUCUAAGCCUGGCAAAAUUGAUUCGUAUUGUUUUAUUCUUCCCUAUUUAGGCUUGUGUAGUGGAGUUAGGGAUGGUUUUCUGUGUAGAGCUGCAAUCUUAUGAGUUAUGAAGCUUUUCUUUUGUCUUGCAUGCUCUUCUUUCCUCCCUAACAUGCAUUUGCUAUUUGCGACCACAUAGGAUAUCAGUGAUGAAAUUUAAUACGAAUUUAUACAGUUGAUACUCAAUAGCUUGUAAUAUUCCUCACCUUAAAAUAUUGUAACAUGAUUAGCAUAUUUAGGUCAAGAUUUAAAAUAUGUUUUUUACUUCUUUUGGUAAACUAUGAACAAAACUACUAGCUAUUCUCUUUUCAUUAGAGAAAUAUUAAAAGUUUUGUUCGGCACUGAUGUUUUCUGAGAACAAUUUGUCAGAAAAUGGCAGAUAGAGGUCAUUCUGGACGCAAAAUGCGACACUUUUCAAUACUACCACUGUUUCCGUCCAUUUUAUUUAUAUUCGAUUAGACAAGUGUGAGGACGUUUUAUGUCAUUGCCUUUUGGUUUACAAUCAAGCAUUUGAGAGAAUCUGAAGUAACCUGGUUUUGUCGUUUUUUUGGCGAUAUAACGUGAUGAUAAAAGCUAGAAGAUGGUCAAGUCAAGCUGCAAUCCAGACUCGAAGAAGAGGAAGAAGCUAAAGCAGCUCUCUUGAGUCGAAUCCAACGAUUGACGAAAUUAAUUUUGGUGUCGACUAAAAAUCCCCAAGCAUCUCGAUUACCUCAUCGUUUUAAUCCUCGGAGGAGACAUUCAUUUGGGGAAGAAGAGGUAGAACCACUGAUUUAAGCUGGAUAAUAUACAAAUUCUUCCAUGUUUUCUUUGGCUAAUCUUGGUUGAUGAUGUAUGUUCAGCUUGCUUACCUACCAUACAAGAGGCGGGACAUGAUGGACGAUGAGCAACUUGACCUGUAUGUUUCUGUGGAGGGAAAUCAUGAGAUUAAAGAUAAUGCGUAUAGAGAAGAAAAAAAGACCCGGAAGCACGGGUUGUUAAAUUGGUUAAAGCCUAAGGUAUACAAAUGAUUGAUUUUUUUAUAUAGCAUUGAAAAUUAUGUUGUGGGCUAUUCUUGUUCAUUUCAAAACUGCAUCUAGCAGCUAUAGGUUUGUACUGUCGUAAAUGUUUCAUGCACUCACUAUAGAUUUCUGGAACUCAAAUCAACUUCAAAGAAUAAUGCUAAUGGGAAGUAAAGAGUCCUAAUCGUACGGGCUUAUGUCCUCUUAGAUGCAGUUCUUCUUUGAUUUGUUGGUGCCUCUCUUGUCUCCCUUUUUUAAUCCAUGCGUACUUUUUCCUAUCAGAAAAGAGAUCACAGUUCAAGUGCCAGCGACCAGUCAAGUGUGGUCAAAUCUAACAGCACACCAUCAACUCCUCAAGGGGGAGGCAGUCAUCUGCACACAGAAUCAAGACUUUCAGAAGGCUCGCCUUUGAUGGAACAACUCUCAGAGCCUAGGGAAGACAGAGAAGCUUUAGAAGACAUUUCCCAUGAAAUGGAGAUUCCAGAGGUACAUAAGAGAUAUUUUCAUUAUCAAAUCCAGUUCCUGCUCUCUGUUUUACAAUACUUUUUUGCACUUGUUCCCAGACUAGCAAUAAAAUGAGCGAUGAGUUGGAUCUCUUGAGGGAACAGAAAAAGAUUUUAUCUGAAGAGGCGGCACUGCAAUUAAGUUCUUUAAAACGGUUGUCAGAUGAAGCUACAAAGUCCCCUCAAAAUGAGGAGAUUAAAGUAACAUAAUCACCCUGUUCAUGAUAUCUAUCUAGUUGUUUUACUCUAGUAAAAUAUUGACCUUCUCGGUUCUCGUUGUUACUUAGGGGGAAAUUAAAGUACUCAAUGACGACAUCAAAGCAAAGAAUGACCAGAUUGCUACGUUGGAGAAACAAAUAUUGGAUUUUGUUAUGACAUCUCAUGAGGCAUUGGAUAAAUCUGAUAUCAUGCAGGUAGGUUCCAAUUGUCAAGUAUUAUGCAUGACGUGUUUUUGUCUGCCAUUCAUUUCUCAAGUGAUUUCUCUUUAUCUUCAGGCAGUUGCUGAGCUGAGGGAUCAACUUAAUGAGAAAUCUUUUAAACUCGAGGUGAUCGAAUUGUUUAUGUUUAUGCAAUUUUUCUUCCUCUAUUGCUGCAGGACUUAGAGAUGAUUUGCUAUUGCCUGGAUAAUAUUAUUCCUUUUAGCUCAAUAUAAUCUCUCCUCAUACCUGAAUAAAGUUGCUUCUGUGUAUAUUAUAUAAUACCAGUCUUCAAAACGCCAAACUAUACUAACAAUGAAGCUACGCGGUUUUCUUAUUCUUCAUCGUGUUUACAGGUUAAAGCUGCAGAUAAUCGCAUCAUUCAGGAAACACUCAAUCAAAAGGUUAGUAAAACUUUUGACAUCGACUAUAUCCCCAAUUUCAUUUGUCUCUGGAAAAGCUUUGAGACUAGGCUUAUAAUGUUUAAAAGAAUUCAACAACCGAUGAAGUAUAUUUUCUGCAGACAUGUGAAUGUGAAGUGUUGCAAGAAGAAGUUGCAAAUCUAAAGCAGCAGCUCUCCGAUGCCCUGGAACUAGCACAGGUCUCUCUUUAUACAUUUUGUAAAAUUGUUGUUUGCAAAAACCAUGCUUUUCACCGAUCUUCGUCUUAUAAGCCACAUGAUGCUUAAACAAACUGUAUUUACGUUCUGACAUGAAAGGGAACUAAGAUUGAAGAGCUGAAACAAAAAGCCAAGGAACUAAGUGAAUCAAAGGAGCAAUUAGAACUCAGAAACAGGAAACUCGCAGAAGAGAGUUCAUAUGCAAAAGGUCUUGCAUCGGCAGCUGCAGUUGAGCUUAAGGCAUUAUCCGAAGAAGUUGCAAAGCUUAUGUAUCAAAACGAGAGACUAGCAGCUGAGCUGGCAACACAAAAGAGCCCGGUCUCACAACGAAAUAAGACAGGAACAACAACAAAUGUAAGGAACAAUGGAAGAAGAGAGAGUCUUGCAAAGAGGCAAGAACAUGACAGCCCCUCAAUGGAGCUGAAGAGAGAAGUGAGGUUGAGUAAGGAACGUGAGCUAUCGUAUGAAGCUGCACUUGUUGAAAAAGAUCAAAGAGAAGCUGAGCUUGAAAGGAUAUUAGAAGAAACGAAACAGAGAGAAGCAUAUCUGGAGAAUGAGCUAGCUAAUAUGUGGGUUCUUGUUUCUAAGUUGAGAAGAUCUCAAGGAGCUGAUUCUGAAAUCUCUGAUUCUAUAUCAGAGACACGACAAACGGAACAAACGGAAGGAUCAUUUUGAGAUUGGGAUAAAAAUACAACAUAAGUAGGAUAUCUUUGUGCAGUGGUUCCAGAGAGUUUGUGUUUGGUAUUUUGCUUGUAAGUCUCGAUUUCUUCGGUUAUUGGAACUUUCUUUUAUAACUUUGUUGAUAAUUUUGUAAAGAAAGAUUCAGUGAAGAGAGAACUAUUAUGUCUCUUUAAAUUUAACUUGCUUAGAUCGAAUCAGAAUCCAAAAUCAUCAGAUGAUUUCAAAACGUGAAACUGUUUGUUAUUAUGAAAAAUAAUCAGAUUUUUCCCGAAACCUCAACAGAUGAUGCCUAGUACGUAAUACAGUACAGUGAUUGGGGAGGAUCAACUCAUUGGCAUUUUCUCUCAUGACAUUUGAUUUACUAUACAUACUAGGUACUUUUUUCAUAAUAAAAUCGGGAUGAUAAUAAUUUCUCAAGUGUUUCUUAUUAUGAAAAAACCAUCAGAUUGUUCAAAAAUUUCAACAGAAACAAAAAAAAAAAUCAAAAGGAGUGAUGAUCAUACUGAUUUUGAUUCAGUUGGUCUUAGGAUCAGGCAUGGGGAACAAACCACCAGCACCAGCAGCUCCUCGCGGCGGAGAAAACCCUAGAAAUUUCUGUAGAUUGGUUCUGAUACUAAUUGAACACAGCAGAUAAAGAAAUGCCAUGGAGCAAUCCGUCGGAUCAUCGCCUUUCAAUCCCCUGUGACUCAUCUUCUUCACUAUCGUUAUCGGAUGGAACGGAAGCUUCGCGACUACUUUACCUUCGAAGAGUGAAUUGAGUAAUCCGAAGACGACGAAGAGAACCAGAGCCACAACGGCGCCGGAUUUGAACUUGAAGAGUGACAGAUCUCGGCUCGAUUCCUUUAAGCUGGUUUCAACGCGAUCGAUCUUCUUUGUCUUUGAUUUCUUUAUGGAUAGCUUCGAAGAAGGAUUCUCUGUCUUCAUCGUCUCGAGUUUCUUCGCGGCCUUGUCAAUGGAGUAUUUCAAGGAUUUGUAGGAGCUGGUACGGUAGAUUAAGAUCCAUGAGAUGGCUUCACAGACCAACGCUGUGCAGAUGGAGAUUCCGACGACGGUUAAGCUAUCAGCGUAUUUGAAAGAAGCGAAGAGCGGUAUCGUAGUCGCCAUUGUUGCUCAAAACUUGCAGAUGACUUCUGUGAUUAGGAAUUUAGAAAGUCAAAAGAGAGCCAAAGAAUAAAUAAAUACAUUUUCGGGGAGCAUAAAAAUACUUCUCUAAUUUCCAAAAUUGCCCCAAUUGUUUUUUUCUUUUAUCAACAAAAACCCAAAUCACAAUCUUUGGCAAAAUAGUUUAUACACACAAAGAGUUAAUAUUACAUGCAGAUGUCUAUUUACAAAGAAGAGGAAAAAAGAAGUUUUGAGUUGAAGUUAGAGAGGCUUAAGAGUGUUCUUAGGAGUACUUAUCCAUGGAGUGUCUGCAAUAGCAAAUCUCCACAAGGCAUUGACAUGUUCAGGCAAUGCGUAAUCUAUUCCAACGCGAGGGCCAACCAUUACUUUCUCCACAUAUUCUCCUCCAUCAAGAAGCUCCAGUCCUCCUGUGUCCAUAUAUUUUUAGUACAAAGCUUAAACACUCUUGAAAAGAUAGAGUCUUACUUCGUUAACUAGUUUGGUCUGUGAACUACUAACCAGGAGAAUAAAGUGGAUGAUGAGACCACUCUGUUGAGAGUCCUAGCGCUUGACCAACCUGCGAGUGGCACAGAUAAAAAGCUUAUAAUGCACGAGGACCGACUCAAAUUUUAAUUUGAGAUCUAAUCAUCGGAGACACUUUCAACUUUUUUCUUAUCUAUUGAAGAACAUAUGAAAUGCAAUAUCUGCAUUGCGAAUCUCUAACCUUUCCUGGUCCAUUUAGAAGAACAGGUUUGUCGGUUUUCAGGCCACGACGCUCCUGUAUAGUCUCCAUUUCUGCAAUGCCAUUGAUGUAUAAAUAAAUAGAAACAUGCAAAAGAUAUGAAAAUUCAACAUUUGCGAUAGGCCAACAACCCAUACAACUUUGAGCCUCAAACAAGAGAGAGUGAAAUGAGCAGAGUUUUGGUGCCGAUGUGAACAGAUUACUUACCGGAAACAGGAGAACAAGACCGUAUCAAAACAGCAGCUCCAACUCCUUCCUUAUCAGCAACAAUAUUGAGCAUCAUAUGGAGACCAUAACAUAGAUAAACAUAAGCAUGUCCUCCUGGUCCAAACUUAAAAAAUAAACCACAUUUCAGAGAAAGACACCAAUUUGUAUGUAACUAAAAAUGCUAACAAGGAAAAAGAAGAAACUCACCACUGGUGCGGUCCGUGGGGUAACACCAAAUCGUCCAUGGCAAGCUGAAUCAUUUGGUCUAUAAGCUUCUACCUACCAAAGGAGGAACAAGUUUAGAGAGCUGCAAAUUACAAUCGGUAGUAUUUCAAGAAGCACCAAUAUCAGAAAUGGUGUGUAUUAGCUUAAUUAAGCACCAACGAUCUAAUCAGAGUAUUACACAAUCCCAAAGUAAAACCCUUUCUCAGGAAACAAAAAAGAAAAGUGUCUGACCUCUGUAAUUCGCAGCACAACAUUGUCUCUCCUUAGGAACUUGCCAAGCAAACGUGGCGCAAGAUCAAGCGCGUCGAUUUGAAAGAACUCCAGAGGCAUUAACUUCAUCUCGGACUCGGAGGUGGAGCGGGUCAGUGGGUAAUCGGGUCUGACCCGAGCCGCUCGAGUCUUGGAACAGUUGGUCUUUCGUGUCCGUAGGACUACUCGGGUUGUAACAUUGAUCUCCGAUUCCUGAUCAAUCCGCUUCGAUCGACGAGCCGGCGUUUUCAUUGUCGAACCCGAAGCAAAAAGAUUUGACUUAUCAAAAAGUAUGCGACGUUGACCUUUUUCUUUGUUAUAUUUGGCGGGUGAUGGUUUAUGAUGCCAAAGGUGGUCGUGCCAACUUUGUCAUAGUCAUAAAACUCAUGCUUGUUCCAAAAAAAAAACAAGAAGGUCAUCCUUGUUAAUUUUUCUUUAACACCAAGACUCAUGGUUAUUUUAUUUGGCACCAAUGUCAUAUUGUUGCAAUGAAGAGAUUUACUAGGGAAUAUAGUUGGCAUUUAGCUUAAUACUAGAUCGUACCCGUGCUGUAUAGCACGAGAUUUAAUAUUUUUUAUGAAUUAAAUUAUAUAUUUUGUUCGAAAAAAUAAGAAAUAAUAUAGUAUAAUAGUAUAGUAUAAAAGGGAAUAUAUCAUAAUAUUUUAUUUUUAUUACUAUUUGGAUAUAAUGUUAUAUAUUUCAUUUGAUUAUGGUUGUAUAUUUUGUUUGUAGAAUUAAAUAAUAGUAUAUGAUAAAUUUUAAAUCUAUAUUCUAUAUUAUAUUGGGUUAUUUUAUUGUAGGAAUUAAAUGUUGUUUAAUCGUAACUUGGUUGAAAAACAUGACUUGAUAAUAAAGAAGGAGAGAAUAUUAUAUUGUAUAUCAAAUAUAUUUAGCUGCAUUAGAUUUGUAUUUUUGUUUAUAUGAGAUUAACAAUUUAUUUGGUUCAAUUAGAUAUUCAUAAUUGCAUUGUGUCAUUGAGAGCAAAAAAAUAAUAGUUGUAUUAGGUCUAAGUUUUUACGUGGGUUAUAUUAGUUUUGUUUGGCCCAAUAUCACGUUGUUUAAAAAAAAAAAAAGAAUAUUUGAUAAAAACUUUAUCUCUUUUUUCUUGAUUACUGAAUAAAUCUACGAAUUAACAACGUCAAGACGCAAGAUAAAACGCAAAUAUCAAUUAAAAGGAAUUUUUGUUAGUAAAUCUUUCAAAUAUAUUUUGUUAGCAAGUUUUAAUAUAUUUGAAAGUAAAAAUCUAAGCUUACAAAUCUUAUUAUUUUUUACGUUGUAAUUUUAUAGUUUUGAAUCUUGAAAUCUGGUAAAAACAGAAUUUCAAUUAAAAUUAAUUAUAAAAAAAACUAAAAUGUAAAAUCGGAAAAAGAAUUCGCCAAAAAGAAGCCCUAGAAGCAAUUUUCCUACAUUCUAGACACUUCUGAUAUUUUGAUCAAAAAAAAAAAAAGACACUUCUGAUAAAGCGUUUCAAAAUUAAUUUUGUUAAUAAAACAUAUUUUUCCAUUUUUCUCAAUUGAAUAAAUUAAAAAAGAAAAAAAACUGUUUCUAGAGGCUUCGUUAGCCUAAUUCAUUAAUCUAGGUUCCCCAAAUCUCAGCGAAAUCUAACUUCUCUUUGCUCUCUCAGUAGCUGAAAAUCUCAAUCCGUAUAGCUUAGCUUCCCUAAUCCAACAACCAUGGCAAAGUUCGGCGAAGGUGACAAGAGAUGGAUCGUAGAAGACAGACCUGACGGCACCAACGUCCAUAACUGGCACUGGUCCGAAACCAAUUGCCUUGAAUGGUCUCGCAACUUCUUCACCAAACAAUUCUCCGGCGUUGUUAUCCUCUCCGGCGAAGGUAAUCUAUUCAUCAAGGUCAAUAAGAUCGAGAAAGUCGAAGGCGAGGCUUAUGUGAAUGUAAGGAAGGGGAAGAUUAUCCCUGGUUACGAGCUUAAUGUCUCUUUAUCUUGGGAAGGUGAGGCCAAAGAUUCCGAUGGGAAGACGCUGUUGAAAGCUGAUGGAUUGGUGGAUAUGCCUUAUAUCUCCGAUGAGAAUGCUGAUGAAGAUCCCGAGAUUAGGUUUUCGGUGAAGGAUGAGGGACCGAUUGGGAGGACUUUGAAGGAGGCGAUGGUGAAGAAGGGGAAAUCGAUUAUUCUGGAGAAGGUUAGGGUUUAUGUGGAGGCUAUGGCGAAAGGAGGUCCGUGUAGGGAUGAAUUGGAAUCGAAGAAGGUUGCGCCGAAAUCUGUAGCGGCUGGAUCAGCUCCGGUGGCGGUGGAGAAGUCUGGUGGUGCCCCUGUGGUAUCUGCUGCUGCGGUGGAGACUAAGGUAGUGAAGGAGAAGAAGAAGGCGAAGACUAAGGAAGGGUUUAAGACAAUUACUAUGACUGAGAAGUUUAAUUGCAGAGCUAAGGAUUUGUAUGAGAUUUUAAUGGAUGAGAAUCGUUGGAAAGGUUUUACGCAGAGCAAUGCUAAGAUUAGUAAAGAUGUGAAUGGUCCGAUUAGUGUCUUUGAUGGGUCUGUUACUGGAAUGAAUCUUGAGCUUGAAGAAGGCAAAUUGAUUGUUCAGAAGUGGAGAUUUGGGAGCUGGCCUGAUGGUCUUGAUUCAACGGUUAGUCUAGUGAUUGUUGCUUAAACAUAAUACCCUGAUUUCGAUUUGAUUGUGGUUGAUAUAUUGGCUUUUGCUUUGACAUUUCAGGUGAAGAUCGUUUUCGAGGAGCCUCAACCAGGAGUCACCAUUGUCAAUCUUACUCACACUGACGUUCCUGAAGAGGACAGGUUAGUUUUACUUAAGAGAUUGUUUUCUAGUCUUCCCUAUAAUGAGUUGCUCUUGAUUCUGAAUCUGAACUUUGGAAUUAGGAAACAAAAAAAAAUAGGAGCUUUUAAGUAUUUAACUCUUGACACUUAUUGAGUGACUAUGUUUUGUGUUUGGUUAAAUGCAAUGAAUUCUUCUGGAAUUUGGACUUUAUAUAGCUUGGUUUUAAAUAGAACCUUCCUAUCGAUGUACCAAGGGGUCUAUUUGCUCAACUCUCCCUAACCACCUUUAGCUAUUUAAAUUUCCCAAUGACCUACUCUACUUUUAUUUAUUAACUCUACUAUCUCUGCUUAUCCUUGACACUGGUUUAACUGGCUGUAUGGCGUUGAUGGACUCUUCUAGUCUUCCCCUCUAGUGACUUGCUUGUGAUUCUGAAUUAGAACUUUGGUUUCUGGUAAACCAAGAAAAGAAGUUUGAACUCCUAAGAGUUUUUUCAUUCUUAAAGUGGAAAGAAGUGAUGAGUGACAUGUUUAGUGAGCAAAUGAAUUCUUUUGGAGUUUUGGUUUACUGUAAUGGUUGGUAUAUGAUAGAUCACUCCUGAUUCCCAAUGACCCACAUCUCUUUGAUCUACUAUCUAUGUUAAUCUUUACUGCUAAACUCACUCUUAGGCUGUCCUGAUGAUUGAACUCUUCUUUGUUCCUUGUAAACACUUGAUAACUUAUUCCUUAGUGUGUGAAUAAGUUUGUCUAUAUUCCAUCUGAUUUCCUCCUUAUGUGAAGCAAAUAUCUUAGAGAGUUGUGUUAACUUUAUGGUUGCUUGCGAUUUUUUUGGUAUAUGUCCUCUGUCUUAAGACGAGUGAGUGAUUUUCUGUUGCUAAUAUAAUUGUGAGGAUAUUGAUGUAACUAAUGUUAUCUGAUGUUUUUCCAAUGGUUGAUGCAGAUAUGGGAAUGCGACUGUGGUGGAAAACACUGAGAGAGGAUGGAGAGAUCUUAUAUUCCAUAGGAUCCGUGCAGUUUUCGGAUUUGGAAUAUGAUUUAUGAUUUUGAUUAUCAAAUAAGUUGAUUAUGAUUUCAAUUCGAACAAGAGGGACCAAUUAACAAUGCAAAAUGUAUGAUUUUAAAGUUUUUCACUUUUAGUUAAUGCAUUCCCCUUGAACUUAUAUACUCUCUUUCUUUAGGCCAUAGGCCCUAAUCAAUGUGAUCAGCAUCCGUUGGUUAUAUUUCCUUGAUCUUUUUUUGUCGAUGACACAUACACAAAUCACUUAAGAAUGAUUAUGAUUUAGAAAACUUAUGUUAUGUUGAACAUAUGAGGUCGGAAAAUGUGUCACAUUGUAGAUAAAUGCUUUGUUGACAAUUAAUGGACACAUCGUCAAGGAAUGGCAUGUGAGUGAUCAAACUAUCUCUACUGCAAAAGAGAGAGAGAGAUCAUUUCGCUUUCAGCUUUUCAGCAAUUAAAUGGGAAACUUCGCAAUUAUUGCGCAUGCAGCAACACAAUAUCAAUCACCAUGUAUAGAUUCAAAUUCACAAUAUAGCUAGAUCAAUAGUCUAUUACUUGCGUAAACCUAAUGCUUUAUGUAUCCCAUGUGACGGGAUUGCGUACGUUAGCUCUAUAUAGUUCAUGUGUUUUUAGAUUUCGUCUAGCACUAUUAGGAAUUUUUACGUUACUGGAAAAGAGAACAAAUAUAUGAGAAUGGCAAAAAAUCGGGUAGAAGCGUGUGUAGUUUAAAGGUUUCAAGAAAAAUAGAAAACAGACAAAAAUACAUGAAAAUGGCAAAAGAUAAAAGCACAAGAUCUCAUUUCCAUAUUAAUGUAUGUAUAUACAGAUUCACUAAGCAGUUGACCUUACCUACUCGAAUGUAAUAAAAAUGUAACAAGAAAACAUUAUCAAUUGAAAAUGACAUUGAAACUAGCAUUUGACACAAAUUAUUAAAUCUAAGAAACGGCUGAUUUAUUAAAAUUUAGUUUUAAAUAUGGUUGACCAAGUAGUUAAUUUUUGUUACAGCAGAUCCAAGAUUCAAAUCUCGAACACUAAUGCAGUUUGUAAAUCUAAAUUUUGUGGAAAGUUCUAAAACACCAUCUCACGUAGUUCAUGUGAUAGAUAUUGAAUUAAUCUAUAUGUGUUUGUAUAUAACUCUGUAUACACUUUAACAGAAAAUAUAACAUUAUAUACAACAAUAAAUCGUUAUCUAUAUUAUAUAUAACUCAUUAGAAGUUUAGAACAAAUAAAAUGUGCGCAAAAAUAACAAAUAAUCAAAAACCUUGGAAAAAUAGGUGUGGUGAUCAGUUCUUCUGAGAAACUUUCAUCUUUAUAAGCGAAUAAAUAAAGUAUGACAAAUGUGGGACGAAGAGUAGGAACAUCGGAUAAAAUAAGCUAUUGCUGAAAUAUGUAAAUGAAAAGUAUAGCAAAUUAGCAACUAGUUUUCUUAAGUUUAUAGCAUUAGAGUAAAAUCCAAGUUCAAAUACUAGACGUUGGAUUGGUUUUUAAGCUGAUCCGGCUCACAUGAUUGGCGCUUCUGCGAUAUUUCAACUAUUCUCAUCACAUGGCAUUAGGUGAUUAUGAUUUGUGAUCAUUAACGAGACUUCAAACCAUUAAUCUUUUUAUUAACCUGGUUCGUAUUUUCUCUGAUUUAGUCGUUUUCUUGUUUCAUAGGCCAACAUAACCACCAAAUAUGCUUUCUACAAUACAUUCGUCACUUAAAGAUACCAAACAGUAAUCUAUAAGCAAAUUAAAAUAGUUUCUGUUUUUGUUUUCAUCUGCGCAAUAACGUUUUAACAAAAAAAAAUCUCAACAUUCCAAAUGUACCAAAAUCUCAACAUUCCAAAUUCCGCGUCACAAAAACAGUGGCAUUUCUCGUAAUUAUUUCGAAAGACAAGGGCAAAUAUAAAGAGAAACACUUCAACUUAGCGACAAUUCCUAAGCAAAUGUCACUUUACCGAAGAAACACAUCUCUCUCUCAAGUUUCUAGAAAAAGAGAUUUGUUGACGGAGACAAGACUCUUUUUCUUUUUCUUUUUCACUCUCUCUCUCUCUCACCAAAUCCUAAAAGACCCAUUUUUUAAUCUCUCUGAACUCAAAAAAAAAAACACACAAAACCAAGAGUCAGAGAAAAGAUUCUCACGCGCCAAAAACUCCCUCGCAAUGGCGUCGGACACCGUUAAGCAUAUGCCUAUUCACGGCGUCUCCGCCUUCUCCUCCGUCACCGUCGAAAUCAAAAACUUUUUCUCCGCCGUGAAACCAAGAAAAACCUCAACUUUCGUCUACGCUUUCGUCGUAACUUUCGUUGCCUUGACUGUUUUCUUAGCCUUUAGUCCUUCUCCCAUCACAGUCGCAAUCGCUCCUUCCAUUUCUUCCUAUAUUCUCCCUAAUAUCACUGUCUCCAAUUCACCUAACUCUCCAGCGUCGACCCUCGAUUCCAAUUUCACCACAUUGCCGACACCGGCGCCGGAAAAUCUCACGGCAGUUACUAAAAACGUAACCUUUGAGUCCCCCAUCGCAAAUGGGACAACAGACCCGACUGCUACAGACAACACUUUUCAGUUCAAGACCGAUCAUGCAAAGGAAAACAUAUCGUGUCCUGACAACAAGACUGAUGUUACUGCUCGAGAUUUGGACAAACAUGGAGCAAGGAAAGCACCUCUGUCGGAGGUUCUAGCCGUCAAUUCCUCUGCUUCUCAGAUGAGAAAACAGAGAAGGAAGUCGUCGCUGAGAAAAGUGAUCGAGUCUCUGAAGAGUUGCGAGUUUUUCGAGGGAGAUUGGGUCAAAGACGAUUCGUAUCCGCUCUACAAACCCGGGUCGUGUAAUCUGAUCGAUGAACAGUUUAAUUGUAUCUCUAACGGAAGACCUGACGUGGAUUUCCAGAAAUUGAAAUGGAAACCAAAGAAAUGCUCUUUACCAAGGUAAAUAACAACACUUGAUUACUUUUUUACAUGGUGAUGACUGGUAAGUCUAAUGUAGUCCAAAUGAUAAGUGUGUGUGUAUGAAUAUAUAUAUAUAAAAGGUUAAAUGGAGGUAAAUUGCUGGAGAUGAUUAGAGGAAAAAGGCUAGUGUUUGUUGGAGAUUCGCUGAAUAGAAACAUGUGGGAGUCUUUGGUUUGCAUUCUUAAAGGAUCAGUGAAAGAUGAGAGUCAAGUCUUUGAGGCUCAUGGAAGGCAUCAAUUCCGUUGGGAGGCUGAGUACUCCUUUGUCUUCAAAGUAGGUUUCUUUAAGUAAUCAAAUUACUUUUUGUGUGUCUUCGAGUUUUAAUCGAAUGAUUUACUGUCGAUAGGAUUAUAAUUGCACUGUGGAGUUCUUUGCAUUGCCUUUCUUGGUUCAAGAAUGGGAAGUUACAGAGAAUAACGGGACGAAGAAGGAGACUUUGCGGUUAGAUUUGGUCGGUAAGUCAUCGGAGCAGUACAAAGGAGCGGAUAUUCUUGUAUUCAAUACCGGUCAUUGGUGGACUCAUGAGAAAACUUCCAAAGGGUAUUAGAUUUUUUCGAACUAGUCUGAUCCCUUAUUUGGGAUUGUUGUCUCAUUGUUUUUUGGUAUUUGGAUGCUUUCAUUAGGGAGGAUUAUUAUCAAGAAGGGAGCAAUGUUCACCCGAAACUCGAUGUGGAUGAAGCUUUUCGAAAAGCAUUGACGACUUGGGGUCGAUGGGUUGAUAAGAAUGUGAAUCCAAAGAAAUCCCUUGUUUUUUUCCGUGGUUAUUCCCCGUCACAUUUCAGGUGAAAUCGAGAUCUGUGUGGUAGUUUUACCAGUCAUAAAAACUGGUUUUGUAAAAUUGGUUUGGUUUGAUUGCAGCGGCGGGCAAUGGAAUGCGGGAGGAGCAUGCGAUGAUGAAACAGAACCGAUCAAGAACGAGACUUACCUAACUCCUUACAUGUUGAAGAUGGAGAUACUUGAAAGAGUUCUCAGUGGAAUGAAAACGCCUGUCACGUAUCUUAACAUCACGAGGUUAACUGAUUACAGGAAGGAUGCUCACCCGUCGAUAUACCGGAAACAAAAACUAUCCGCAGAAGAAAGUAAAUCACCAUUGUUGUACCAAGACUGUAGCCACUGGUGCCUCCCUGGGGUGCCUGAUUCUUGGAACGAAAUUCUCUAUGCCGAGAUACUCGUAAAACUUGACCAGCUUGGUGGCAGAAGACGGCGGAAACCCCUAAAAGAUCAUAGGAGUUGAAUCUGCAUCCUUAUAGAUGAAUACAGAACUUUAAAUGGUUAAAAGAAAGGAAACACUGAUGUAGAUGGGAAUCAGAUUAGUGCCAUGUUCAUUUUCUUGAUUGUAAACCCAAUUAAUGGGAGAGAUUUGAGAUUGUAAAUGGUUUUGUGACUACAAGUAAUAGUAAACAUAUGCCUAACCCGAACUGAACCAGACUAUUAGAAUCAAAGACCUAACCAGAAUUUGUGUCUAACUCCAAUGCCUAACCUAAAUCUGAGUUCUGAUGAAGAAUCAUUUGGUGAAGAGAAUCCGGUUGAUGACAUGGACAGGCAAAGCGUAGGCAGGAUCAAUUGUUUUGACUCCAGGAUACUCGAGAAGAGAGAGCCCUGCACCAAUUUUGUAUCAAAUUGACACAUAAUUCUUUGCUUCACAUCAACAAGAUAAGCUAAAGAAAGACAUUUUUAGUUACCCGCAACUCCAAAGUAGGUGUGGAAGAUAUCAACAGCAUCUUUGGGAUUAUCUGAGAUACCUCCGUUAUCCAUGUCCUAUUCAAAGUUUCACUUGAACCUCAGGGAAGGCUCUAAAAGAUGAGACCUUUAAAACCAAUAGCAACAAUAUUGGAAACAAACCUGACAGUCCAAGAUGAACUUGACAAGCUUUCCUUUCUCGAUCCAAUGAACUCUGUCGAUCAUGAUUAAGCUGGAUAACACCCACCAAGAAUAGCAAACCUAAUAACAGGAAUUAUCAAAAGCACGCUAAGAACAAUCAGAAUCAUGUUUCGAUUUGGAAGAGUUUAACGCUUACAUCAGGGAGUUUCUCAGGUCGUCCAUUUAAACCUCCAGACUCGUAGUCUUGUCUUUCACAUAACCACCAUCCAAGUAAGUCCUUAUCAACAUGAUGGAGAUUCCCGGUGAUAGCAAGAGCACCCACGCAACAGAAAACUGCAGCAACAUAAAGAAUCACUGCCCUUUAAUUACCAUAUGAUGCUGCAAUCUAGACACAUAUUGAAUGAUGAUCCCAGGGUUAAAAAGUCAAAUUAGCAUGAACAUACUCUGUCUUGCAUGAGACUCCGCUCCAGGUGUGCACCCGAAACCACCAUCCAGGUUUUUGCAGCUCACAAUGUAAUCAACAGCCUUCUUCACAUUGAUCUUAUCAAGACAUUUUAAUAUUGAGAGACAGCAUAUAGCUAUGUACGAAAACCUACAUUGAACAAGCUUGCAGAUAAACAUAGUGAAACUCACAACUCGGAAUAAAUAAAAAGCUAGGAAGAAAGAAUACCUUGUAUCUACUUCGCCCCACAUAUCUCCUGAGAAGGAUCCAUCUUUAUUCUGUAACCCAGCAAUAUCUAGUUUUUGCAUUUAGACAAACAUAAUUGUAUCCACCACAAGCGAUUUACCGAGUUUAUUUCUUUUCACAUUGACAAGAAGUUAAAUGCUUGAAGGAUACAACUUGACACUUUUUGGACAUCAAGAAUGCUUAGUUUGUCAAAGAGGGCCAAGAUUUGUACAGCACUGAGUGUAUAUAUAACAUGCGGAUCAUGUCCAGUAUUACCGGCAAAGCCACCUGCUCACAAGAAAGAAUCACUUUUUAAAAACUAAAAAUGCAGCAACAUCUUACGAUUAAGGUUGAAAGUAUUAAAUCCGCAAAUGCAUUUGAUUGAUGAAUAUUACACACACCGCAGAAACAGAACCAAGCUUGUCGAGUAAAUCUAGUGUGGUUAGUCCCCAAUAUGCACCAUUCAUUCUCAGGUGAUCCAUCACAACAGACUCAAAACUCUCUUUUUUCUAGCAAGUUGAUAUGAAAACCGAAAAAACAAGUGGGAAAUUCAAGUUGUAAUUAUAAUGACAUUGACAAUGAGCAUGAGGAAAAAUUGGAUGAUAUAGCUUUAUAGUACCUUUUCUGCCAUCAGAAUGUAACGAACAUGCUUGUCAGCUACGAGCUUGUCUGCCAUCAGAUUCAAUAAACUUGGCACAAACAGAAGAAACAACACCAAAGAAUUUUUAAGUUAGCUUUGAUUCAAGUUUAGUUUCCUUCAAUGGGUUAUAAAAUCCCUAGCUGGUAUAAUUAUUAACACUUAAAUCACCCAUCAAUGGUUGAUCACCAUCUAGUGAAUAAAUUCACUAUAAAGUAUAAACGAUCAGCUACAGAGACUCUUACAAUAUCUUCGUGGUGAAAACAGUAAUCAAUUCGAGCCCUUGUUGAAUUUUGUAGGUGGUGAUCAAUAGAUUCGGAAAAGACAAACCUUUACAACGAAAUUAGUAACAAGACGAUUGAACGCAGAAAGAAGAGUAACACAUAAUCGAACAAACCUAGAAAAAUCUGAUAAAUUCUUUUGGGCGAUACGAUGAAGAAGAAGACAGUCAAACAAGUGAUUCGGUCCGUAAUAUGUUAUUAUUAAUAACCCAGACUAAACCGAAAUCAAUCUGGUUCUCCUAAUUGAACCGAUUCAAAUCCUUCAUGUCCAGUCCGGUUUUAAUCAAACCAGAAGAAUCGAGUUUUGCGAAUUAAACCGGAAGACAACAAGAAACAAUUUUACUGACAUAGUGUUAGAAUGUCACAAAGGAUUUGAUAACACAAAAGUACCUUACUAUUGCAACCAAGGACAAAUGGUAACACAAGCAAUUACCAUCAUACAAAUUCAAAAUUCGAAAGCAUCCAAUCAUCCAUCCAUCCCACAACCAGAAAACCCAUAUCAUCAAUAAAAUUAAUCCAAAAGUUGGAUCAAAACUAUUAGCAAUUUACCUUUUUCCAUCGCCAAGCCUCGAAUAAAUAUUUCAUCUCUGUAAUUCAUACGUCCCACAAUACUACUCGCUUUGAUAUAGUCGUCGCCUUCCUCUACCUCAGCUCCUCCCAGACCGUCUAUUUCUGAUCCAAAAUCUCCAUCGUUACAGCUUUAAACUAGAGAAGGUUAUAUGCCACCAAGUUCUUCAGUUUCAGCAGAUUCUUCUCAUCUGCACACUCUUCUUUUUCUUUCAUCUCCGCCUCAAAGUGGUCUAAAGCACCCUCUCCUUGUUAGCUUUCACGACCCGUCAAAUUAAAGUCUUCAUUAUUCUGUUUUUUUUUUUGGCAGUUUGGUAUGCGCGACCAUGACCGAACCAAACCGAGCUAACAUGGACUCUACAAAAUGCGAACCAAGUGUGUUAUUCCUUCGCUAUAUGGCCAACAUCCCUACUUGGCACUUGCAAGUGCAUGAAAAUGUAAAUGGUUUGUUCAUGAGUUAUAUGAGGUCAGGAGUAUAUAUAUACAUACACGCUUAAGCUAGCAUGUUUGGAUAAUAAUCUGCUAUGGGGAAAACCGGUUUUAUACAUCCGUAGAAGACCAGGAUUAAUAACCGGAAUGAUACCCGGUACGGUUAUCAAUGGUCUCCAGCUCUGCUUCAAUUGACUUGUAUUUGUAUCCUCUAUUUUUCUUCAUGUUUAUUCAUCAUUGAGCUUCAAGAGGUAAUCUCCAAAUGAUACCCUUUUAAAGGACGACGAAUAAAGUCUACGUUUAAGAAGAAGAAAAAAAGAUUAGUAACCGGAUUUAAAUUCUGUACCCGCUGUGUCGACCACACCAAAAUUAAAUGGAGGAGAUCCAAUUCCAAAGAUGCUCAUAUAUCGGAAAACCCUAGAUCGACUCCAUUUAAAUGAGACUUUCGUGUUCCAUAUGGCUUAAGAUCGAAUUACGUGGCAUGCACGGGAACAAAGCAUAUCUACCACAUACACACUAUAAUAAGACCAUACAUGCGUUACCGUUAAUAUGUGCGUGUUUUAUUUCACAAAACCAAACUCGGCAGCCGUAAAGAUAAUAAAAAACGAAGGCCCAUAUGACCGGUAUGUAUAAAAAACCUUAAGAAAAGGAAAGAGAGAGCGAACCCUAAUUUCUUCUAAUCAUGCCGCCGAUGAUCAGUCUUAGAUCCGUCAUUGCGCAGGUAAAUAAAACAAAAUCGAAGAUCUUUGAUUCUACUUUUUUGGCGAUUGAUAACACGUGCUAUUUUACAGUGCCGUGAUGUGGUCUCGCCGCAAUUUCUGUUCAUCCCGUAACGUCAACGGUAUGCUUAUCUUUUUAUUUUGCUAAGAACGGUAUGCUUAUCUGAUCGAUUCCGUAUGAACUCGCGUCUGUUCUCUGAUUUUUUCUUUCAAUUGCAGAGUCGAUGACAGGCGAAGGAAGUUCGAUGACGGUUGUGCAAAAGGGUAUUAAUGCUGGCUUUUCACUUUUUGUGUAUGGAUUUGGGGCCUACUUGGUUAGGGGUAAUGUUCAGUAUAUUCUUUUGAGAUUUUUCAUUAAUUUUUUAUACACAAAUGCGUGAUUGUUUCGUUUUUCAUGCUUAGACUGUAUGAAGAUGAAUAAACGCCGUCGAGAGUGGGAGAAAGCUGAAGAAGAGAGGAAAAGAAAAGCUCACGAUCUGGCUUUUUCGGUUUUCAAUAACUAAUCCGUGAGUCUUCAAUGAAUGAAUUCAGAAUAAAAGUUUGUGUUGGCUAUGCGUGUGUCUUCAAUGAUGAAUGAAUUCAGAAUAAAAGUUUGUGUUUAGUUUUUGUUUGGUACUGUGCUGGGAACAAAAAAAAGGAAGCUUAAAUAAUCUAUGGUUGUGACUUGUGAUUGAUGUUGUGAAGAUUUGGUCGAAAGAUUUUAUUUAUUUCUAGCCUGGCAAACUUGAUUUGUUAUUGUUGUAUUCAUCCCUAUUUAUGCUUGUGUAGUGGAGUUAGGGAUGAUUUUUCUAUGUACAGCUCCAACCCUGAAAACUUGAAAUUUGCUUUUCCAUUGUCUUGCAUGCUCUUUCGACAUCACUGCGUCUUUCCUCCCUAACAUUCAUUUGCUGUUUGCGAUCACAUAUGAUGUUAUUUAGUAAAUAACUAUCAUUCUCAUUAAAAGAUGCAAUUGGGGGUUUACAUACAUUUGACCAUGCCUUAACCAACUAAACCAAGCUAUACAGACUCAAACCAAACUAUACACAAUGUGCUAUACAAAUGAACUAUAUACUAUGAUAGAUGUCAGUAAUGAAAUUUGAUAUGAAUUAAUACGUACAUAUCAGAAAAGAGAUCACAGUUCAAGUGCCAGCGACCAGUCAAACUGUCAAAGUAUGGUCGAAUCAACUCCUCAAGGGGGACUGGGGAGGCAGUCAUCUGCACACAGAAUCAAGAUUUUCGCCUUUGAUGGAACAACUCUCAGAGCCUAGGAAAGACAGAGAAGCUUUAGAAGACAGUUCCCAUGAAAUGGAGAUUCCAGGGGUACAUAAAGAGAUAUUUUCAUUAUCAAUUUCAAGUUCACAUAUUUCGGUGAUAAAUAAUACACAAAACAGAGAAAAAAAAACUUGGGCUAGAGCCCAACAAUAUAGUCGGAUAUAUAUCACCGGUGAACCAACCAUAUACAAUCAGCCUUCAGCACAGAUAUAAACUUGGGCUAGAGCCAAACAAUAUAGUCGGAUAUAAUUGACGAUUAUGCCGCCUAUCAGUCUUAGAUCCCUCAUUGCGCAGGCGACUCGCGGAGGAGGUAGAUCUCUAGUCUCAAGGCGCAAUUUUUCUUCAUCCAGUAUUAGCAAUGGUACGUUUUUGUUCGUUUUCUUCAUCCCGCCUGAUUUCUAUAAAAUUCGCAAGCGUGACGGAAUCUUUGGUUUAUUUGAUUUUCUUUUUUUGUAGAGCCCAAGUUACCCAGAAUAUCUAUCGGGAGCUACAUCAGCGGCUGCAGGAUAUGGUACAGGUAUGGAGAGAGAGCGAUUUUUUUCCCUCAAUUUUUUUAUCGAUGAGUCGAAUUAACCAGCCUUGUUAAUUUUUUUUUUUAUUUUUCGUAUGAAGCUUAUCAUUUAUUUGAAGUUGAUGAAAUGGAACUUGUUAAGGAGCGGCAAAAGGUAGAAACAAACAAGCAAGAAGCACUCAAAUGAGAUUGUGACCAUUGCACUUGUUUAAAAAGAUUGUUUAUGUUAGCUUGAUUCAAGUUCAGUUUCCUUCAAUGGGUUAUAAUAUCCCUAGCUGGUAUAAUUAUCAGUGUCUUUGUUUCUAUUGCAUUCUAUCUCAUUGUAUCACAUAGUGAAUAUCACUCUAAACGAUCAUCAGCUACAGAGACUCUUAAGGGUCAUAUCUUGGCGGUGAAAACAGUAAUCAAUUCGAGCCCUUGUUGAAUUUUGUAGGUUAUGAUCAAUAGAUUCGGAAAAGACAAACCUUUACAACGAAAUUAGUAACAAAACGAUUGAACGCAGAUUAUAAUAAGAAGACAGUCAAACUUUUCGGUCCCGUAAAUAUCAGAUUUUAUACCGAAAUCAAUCUGGCUCUCCUAAUUGAACCGAUUCAAAUCCUUCUCGUCCAGUCCGGUUUUAAUCAAAACCAGAAGAACCGGUUUCGGAUCCAUCAAACGAUAAAGAGUUAAAAACCCAGAAGAUAAGUGAGUGAUAAACCUCUGGCAAUUUCUUCUCUGCCAAAAAUGGCGAGUCUACUUGAUUCGUUGACAACCAGAUGCUUCUUCACCAUUCCUUCAAUUUCUAGGAUUUCUUCUCCUUUAGCUUCUUCAUCUUCAUUGACUUCUUCACCAUCUUCCUCUUCUCCAAUUAUCCCAUCUUUCUCAGUUCUCUCUUACACUCACCAACACUCGCAUUCUCGCUUCCCUUUCCUUGUUGCAGCAACUCUGGAUGGUUCCUCUGCUGAAGAAGAGCUAGAUUUCGAAGAAUUCGACCAAUAUGCUGAAGACAACUACGCUGAUGAUUCGGAUGACGAAGACGACUCCAUCGAUAUCUCCGUUCUUGAGAAAGAAGCGAGAGAUAUCGUGAGAGAUUAUGCUACCAUUUUGUCUCGCGAGCUCAAACUCGGUAAUUUCUUCCCUGCUUUUAUUGCCAGUGUUUACUUUGUAUGUAUUGGUCUUAACGGUAGUUAAAAACUGCUUGAUGCUACCAAAGACUGUGAAUGAUGAUCAUAGUUUGAUGUUUCCAGAGGAUGAGACCAUUGAGGGGAAGGAAACUCGUAGAAAAGGGAAAAGGCUAGCCAAAAAUGUUAGUCAAGCUCCUUUUUGAGUUUUUUUCUUUGUUAGUUUAUCGACGAUGAGGCUUCAAAUUACUGACAUGACUAUAAAAUAAAAAAAAUUCCAGACGCAGCAGAUACCAGAGCAUCUUCUCCAAAGAGUUGCGAUCGUUGGAAGGCCAAAUGUUGGCAAAUCAGCAUUGUUCAACCGUCUUGUUGGGGUAAGUUUUGCUGACAUUUAAAUUUUCAGUUUGAUACUUAUCCUUACCAUUCAUAUAAGUUGUCUUUACAAUACAAUUUGCAGGAGAAUAGAGCUAUUGUAGUGGAUGAACCAGGAGUUACUAGGGAUCGAUUGUACGGUAGAUCGUAUUGGGGUGAUCAAGAAUUUGUGGUGGUAGACACAGGAGGUGUUAUGACUGUUUCAAAGUCACCAUCUGGUGUCAUGGAAGAGCUGAAUGUAUCAACCACCAUUGGGAUGGAAGGUAUUCCACUAAGCUCUAGGGAAGCAGCUAUUGCAAGGAUGCCUUCCAUGAUUGAGAAACAAGCUACAGCAGCUGUCGAUGAAUCAGCUGUCAUUAUUUUCGUUGUCGAUGGCCAGGUUCUGUGCUUAUGUUCUAUCUCCUUAACUUUUCUGUCUUUGCCUUAUUCCCUGUUAGGCUUUUCUUUUCCUGCCAGAAAAACAAAGUCCAGCAACAAAAAGUAAUUUGGUUGCUGUAUUAUAUUUCUUAGACUUAUACUAUGAAUAUGGUGGGAGUUGGUUAUAACCAAAAUAUUCUUUAGAUUUUCAGUUUAAUGGAAGAUAUUACCAAAUACUCAAGAAAGCUGUGACUUAUAUCUAAAAUAUAACAAGCUGAUUUUGUGAAUUCUUUUACUGUAAAGCCCAAUUGAGUGUUUCCUGGUUAUCAUGCCAUGUCAUAGAUAUGUGGUAAUGAUUUUGGUACUAUGCAGGCAGGGUCAUCAGGUGCUGAUGUGGAAAUUGCGGACUGGUUGCGGAAGUACUACUCACAUAAGUAUAUCAUUCUCGCGGUAAACAAAUGUGAAUCACCACGUAAAGGACUCAUGCAGGCUUCGGAAUUUUGGUCUCUAGGGUAAAUUCACUUUCAUCCUACUUCAGAAUCAUGUUUGCGCACAAACUUGGCUCUUUUUGGGGGGUGUGGUUUAAGGAUAUGAACGUGCUGAAAAUAGGAGUGAUUCUCUUUUGAAGAUAGCUUUUCAUUUAGUGUUUCAACUGUCUACAAAAAUAGAAUUCAUGGACAAACGUCAUUUGGUACUUUUCAUUAGAUGAGUUGAAUAUUUGUUACUUUCUUAAUUGUCAGUGUUUAUAUUCAAGAGAAUAAUCUUUUCCUAAUUUGUGAAUCUAGUAUUGUUAUUAUGAUGAGUUUAUGGACCUGGCGAACUUGUACACAUCAGAACUUUCUCUCAUCAUAGUGUCUAUUUUGAUGUUUCACCUUUAUUUUGAAUGCUAGUGAGUAGGUUGGUAGCUAUGGUUUAGCCGGAGAUAAAAUGUUUUACUUGCAAUGCUUAACAUUUUAGUUACUUUGCUUCUGUCCAUUUUUGUGUGUUUUCAUUUACAAAUUAUGUGGCAUUGAUUUCAUGGUGGAAUUUCCAGGUUCACACCUAUCCCUAUUUCUGCAUUGUCGGGAACUGGAACAGGAGAGCUGCUUGAUCUUGUUUGUUCUGGGCUAAAUAAAAUCGAGGUUUGUAAUGGCCUUUCUUUCUUUCAGAAAAACGUUUGUGCAGGAAUAUGAAAUAUUGGCAAAUAGUUGAUUAUGAUAUCUUUAUAUGGACAUAUUCUGUAUCACAGUAUACUGUUUCUGAAAUCUUUUCAAGGUUUGGCUUAAUCUACAUCAUAUACACCCUGAAAUUUCAUCCCCUAUUUAUCAAAGACCUUAAGGCGUUUUUGAAUAUGUUUAUUUGGCACCCAUUGUGUUUAUUUAACUGCAAUAACUGGCCAUAGCAUUGACAAGUACGUCUCCUUUAAAUAAUUAGCGUUGACGAGUAGCAUUGACAAGUAUGUUCAAUGAGAAACCAAAUAUCAAAACCUUUUCUUACAUAUGUUGCACCCAUAUGAUUCAAUGAUUUUUCUAGAUCAUGGAGAACAUCGAAGAGGAGGAAGAAGAAAACUACAUUCCUGCCAUUGCAAUUAUUGGUCGGCCAAAUGUUGGCAAAAGUAGCAUUUUAAAUGCACUUGUCCGAGAGGAUAGAACAAUAGUUAGCCCUGUUAGUGGAACUACCCGUGAUGCUAUAGAUGCAGAAUUUACCGGACCAGAUGGGGAGGUUCGUUCAGUGUUCUCUGUUGUGUUUUUUUGUGGCUUACUUUCGGUGAAUACCCAUUCAUUUAACCCUGAAUAUGAUUAUGAACUGUGUUGCAGAAGUUUCGGCUUAUAGAUACAGCUGGGAUCAGGAAAAAGUCAUCUGUGGCUUCAUCAGGCAGCACUACAGAGGCCAUGUCAGUGAAUCGUGCAUUUCGAGCAAUUCGUCGUUCUGAUGUUGUUGCCCUUGUCAUUGAAGCCAUGGCAUGCAUAACAGAGCAGGUAUCUCACUAGUAACUGACACUGAUGAAUGUUUCUCAUUAGCAAUUGUAUAGCAUGCAGUUUUGGUAUAGACAGAGUUUAACCAUACAGUAGAAUUAUUUCCCUGCCCAACAACACUUUUACUGACAUACUGUAGUUUUAGAAAAUUUAAUGAUAAACUUUCGUAUUCAUGUGAAAUUUAUCUUCUUCUCGUUUCUUAAUGGUUAUGGUAUUGGAAAACAGGAUCUGAAGAUUGCAGAAAGAAUAGAAAGAGAAGGGAAAGGAUGUCUGGUUGUUGUAAACAAAUGGGAUACAAUACCAAACAAAAACCAAGAGACUGCAGCACAUUACGAGGACGAUGUUCGGGAGAAGCUCCGUUCCCUCAAAUGGGCACCUAUUGUUUAUUCUACCGCAAUAACUGGCCAUAGUGUUGACAAGUGAGUCUCCCUCAAAUGAUUCAAAAACUAUUUUCAAUGUCACACUCCGGUUUAACUUAAUCUGUUGAAUAUUUUAUAAUUAAAAUGUAGUAUUGUGGUUGCUGCUGCGACGGUUCAAAAGGAGAGGUCAAGAAGACUUAGUACAGCCAUAUUGAACCAAGUGAUAAGAGAAGCAGUUGCAUUUAAAUCUCCUCCAAGAACCCGUGGAGGCAAGCGAGGCCGCGUUUACUAUUGCACCCAGGUAAUAAAAACUUUGUCCCAAUGUUUUCUAUUAGCAGUAAAGGAAAUUGCUUUAGAGGCUUUUCGGGUUUGUUUGUAAGUAUAUAAAAUGCUUGUAUAAUGCAGGCAGCAAUAAGGCCACCGACGUUUGUUUUCUUUGUAAACGACGCAAAGCUGUUUUCGGAUACGUACAGAAGGUAUAUGGAGAAGCAGCUACGCACUGAUGCAGGCUUUGCUGGGACUCCAAUUCGGCUACUUUGGCGCAGCCGUAAAAGAUCUGACAAAAAUGGAGGAGGUACGAGUUUUUAGCAUGAAGUCUUAAUUCUUUUUGAAGUAGUAUUUGUAUAACUUAGGGAAAUUCUGCAGGUGGAGGAACAAUGAGAAUGGCAGGUCUUACACGCCAGAGAAAUCUUGCAACCAAAAGAACAUAAGAACGGACGAUGUAAUUUUUGUUGUAUUGAAAAAUAAUUACCAUCAAAAUAUAUAUUCAAAACUAUAACUAAAAAGAAAUUUAAUAUCAGCAUCUUUCAUCUUUGUGUUUUCUUAAUCUCAGUUUGCUAAAAAGAAAAUGUUUAAGAAACAAAAGCCGAUGAGGAUUUCAGUAAAGCUGCUCUUUCUUUUCGUGCCACCAUCUCCACCUGUAAAAAAAUAAUGCUUUUGUCAAAAGAAAAUAUUGGAAGAUCUCAAUUCGGAUCAAACGAUGAAAAUCUGUAAAUCAUAUAGUAUAAUUUUGUAACAAAUCUUUCAUUUUACGAGUAAGCAUUUGGUAAGAGAGAGAGCGAGGUAGGUUACCAGUAAUAGUCCCAACGAGGACGGACUCUGGUCAUCCGGUUAUCAUCAGAUGGAUGGUAAGGAUGAGCCGCGUGGCGAGUGUUGUGGAAGGCGCAGCAACCAGCUGCGUAGACCGCGAUGAGGAGGACGAGGACGAGAAUGUUGACAACCGAUAACUUUCUCCAGUCGAGACGGAUCUCUUCGAGAACACCAGCCUUGCAAGCAUCGCACUCGUAGCAUAACAUCUCCACUCCAUUGUUCCAUCUGUAGCAAUCUCCUCCUCCAUCCACUACUCCAGCUUCGUACGUGCACGCCGUUGGUGGCUUACAACAUCCCGACUGCAAUAUUUUGUAUUAGUCACGUCUUAACUCUUAACUAGGCUUUUAUUCGCAAAGAAUACUAUAUUUAUAUUUACGCCAAGCACAAACUAAAUUUCUUCUCAAAACACAAACGUACGGCUCAACAAAACACAUACGGAAAGAGAAAAUUUUAAUCACAUGCUUGCUUUACACGCCAUUAGAAACGGAGAAACAAAUAAAAUCAAAGGCUUAGUUUAUCAUGAUAAGAAAUAUAUUAGAUUACUAUAGCAAUUUGUUAAGCAAGCAUGUAUCAUAUCAUAAAGUGGAUGUUACCUGAACAGAAGUCAUGUCUCUUUGGAAAUAAUCAAGUGUAGUCCAAGUCUCAAUCUUAGUACAAGUCUUGGAACUCAAGAUACAGCUUCUAAUGGAGUUCCAAUACUGAGGAUCCCUAACUCUCUCUCUCAACCAUGGAUGAUAGUCUCCAAGCCUAUACUCUUUAUAAACCCUCCCUGGAACUUCCACUCCACCUCCUUGGCUCGUAACCACCAGACCAAACAGCGUUAGACCCAUUAGAGUCGCGAUGAGGAAGAUCAUGACCACUAAGUAUACCCAAAGAGCCCAUGCGACGUUGAAGCAGGCUCCUAUGAAACCCGCAAGCGAUACUAAGAGUAUGAUGAAUCCUAUAACAAGUAGCGGCGUCUGGAGGAAGUUUUCACAUGUCGUACUGCUUCUUGCCUUAUAUAAAGCAGUUCCUAUGAUUGGAAUCGAGGCUAGUAAGGUGAGGAGGUUUAAGACCCCAAUAACUGUGUUGCUGAAUCUGUACAUAAUAGUAACGUUAUCAAGAAGAAAUCAGAGACUUAACACUGCCUUCUUUCUUUUGUAAGCAGAUUCUCUUCUUGCAAUGUGAAUUUCAUCAGCUUUAUCUUACAAUCUUUCUUUCUAGAUAUAAUAUUGGUUAACUCUACUUUUUGCUUUUGAUUCUCUCUUAUCAACUGGGAAUUUUUUAAGGGAAAAGGUUUAGAGUUAAUGGUUUGAUGAUUCAUGCUCAUAUUCUUUUGGUCCUCUCUUGAUUUGAAUCAAUUAAACAAUAACAUUGAAACCGUAUAUUUUUCAAAUAAAAGUGUCCUUUUGGACAAUUGUUUCUUGUUUAUUGUUCUAUAUUAUACGUUUUUGUCGUUGGAGUUGGUACAGAGCAGACCACAACCAAGAGAAAUCAAGUAGUGCCCUACUAACAAUAUAUAAUUUCCUAGCUUUUAGUCCAAAAACUGCAAUCAUGGUUUGUAUAAUGGAUCACACAAGUGGAAUAAAAUAAAUGUGACAUGUUCAAUGAAGCAUAGGAGUAAGCAAAGAAUAAUAUAGACAUGGACGGGCGAUGAUUUCGUAAUCGAUGAAUUUUCUUUUUAAGAUGCUUUUAGUGGCCCAUUCCUUGGAAUUUUAGGUUUUUUUGGAUAUAGCAUAAUGUGACCUUCGAUUCCCCCACUUCCUUUUUAUUGUAUAAACAAGAAAGAAUUCUAAAAUCUUGUCUCAGCUCAUAUUUUAUGUAUUUUUAUGUUUUACUUUCACAUUUAGCAAAUGAUAUUUGUUUCAAGUUGCAUAUCAUUUAUGAGCCAAAAUAUCCACAAACUUGAAAAAUACAAAGGUUGUGGUCCUUGUGUGGUUGAAAAGACACACAAAUGGAAAAACAAACAAAACCAGAUUGCACGAACAAAGUCACAACUUGAAACCAAAAAAUAUUUUCCUAUAGAACCAUGAUCUCUAGUAUACAUCCAAAAUCUUCAAAUCAGUAUUUAAAAACAAAGAUGACGCAGAUGCAGCUCAAGUGUAAUCAGUUUGCAGGGUCAAGUCUUGUACACCCAAAUCAUGGUAUACAUCAUAUACAUAUUGCAGUAAUGGCCUUUCAUCUAUUCCGCUCUUCACCUAAAACCGAUACCAAAAUGACAAACCCAUUCAUUUCCAUCCUAGCGUGAUCUCAUGUUUUAACCGAUAUAAAAACAAGAGAGAAAUGAGUACCUGGAGUCUGAGUGAGCCCACAGUGUGACCAGGCACAACCUCCCAGAAACGUGCCUGUAAAACCUCCAUGACAUCUUCUCGAGAAGUAAUCUGUACAGAGAGAGAGAGAGAGAGAGAGUUGAAGAGAAGCCUGGCUUGAUCAACAAUAGGGAAUAUGUACACAUUUGGGGAACAAUUUAUGAGCGAACCUGUCGCAAGCAUUUGCUUAAUGCUGAAGAAGGAAUGUUAGGGGGUGCCAUCUGAAGCAAGACACCACCAGUGGCUUUGAAGAGUGGCAUAACAAGCAUAAACACGGUAAUGGAUACCAAUCCUAAACAUAGGACUUCUGCAUUUUCAACCCUUAAAUAGCCAAGGAGCAAAAGGAAAAUGUAAGAGGUCAAGCAAGAAGACACUUAUAUUCAUUUAGCUCCUCAAAGGUAGCGAGCAUUACCCGAGAGAGAGGAGCCAAGAUGCCAGUAUCAGACCUGCACUGAAAAGACAGUAGCAAAGAAAAAUUCAUGUUGAUUGUAUAGAAGUUCAAAGGAAAGAAGCAUUUUUUUCUAUCUAGCUCUCUCCGAUUCUGCUUGAGAUAAAGAAAGGCAGAGAGAAUCAACACCUGCGGAUGGAAUCUGCUAUGACGUGCAAGCAAACAGAGUGGUAAUUCAUAUCUUCUGCUUUUCUGUAGGCUGCAGCAUAUUAUGAAUGUAAGAAAGAAAUUCAAGAAAAAAUCUGGUUUUAAAUAUGUAUAGAAGGGACGAAUUGUCUUGUGCCAGAUCAGUUAAUCACGCUGUCUCUAUUUCAACUAAUUCUCGUACUGAUUAUCUUAACCAAACACCCUUACUUAUUUGGCUUCAAAGUCAAAACUGACAAGGGUGGCCAAUUUCUACAAAUGAAAUAUACUCAAGCCACCAGAAAAGGCUAUAUUAUAUAGAGAGCAUAUGGGCAGCAAUUCAUACAGGUUUAACGAGAACUUAAGCAUGUUUAUAUAUAGCAGAAAGUACAUACCAAUAUUGACACGAGCAUAAUUCCGGAAGAACCAAACACCUAGUAGGUUCACCAGUAAAUUUGUUACGGCUGAUACAAUCAAAUAAUGCCUACAUAAAGGAGAUAUCAAUAAAUUACAAUAAGGAUCAAGAGGGAACAAUUACUGUAAACUUAGUAAGUGCUAGAGAAAUAUCUAGAAACUCCUAGGCAUGCCAGUUGUGAAAAAGCAACUUACUUGUGCUCUGAUUCAUCUUGUAUAAAUGCAUGAAGAGCUUCCACAGCUAAGGAGAAUGACAUGAACAUAAGGAACAGCUGUCUACACAUAUGUCAAAUAUUAAACAUAUCAAAGUAUUAACCAGAAAGAUUAACUACAGAGAAUGAGACAAUGAAGGCAAAACGAAAAGAAAGGUCCUCAUAAUGUAUGGAAGUCCAAAUUAUUUUAACAACGAGCUGUAAAAUUACUCUAUUAUAUCAGCAACAGUAAAGGAAAGAGUGUUAACACUGAGUUACGCUGUCGACACUUAUUAUAUUACAUGGCACAUAAGCCUUAGACCUUAGAAGCCUCGAACAGAUAAAACUUACAGCAUUAGUGAAAGCAGAUAAAACUUCAAGUCUUUUGUACCUGGGAAAAAAAAAGACAAGGAUGCCUAAAUUACAACCACUUCAGCAAUAUCACAUUACAGUCUCGGCAGAAAAAUAGAUCAUAAAAUGGAUUCACCAACUGAGCCAAUCAAUUUACAUUUAUCUCACCCGUAUGAGUAAGCAUGAUCAGGCUUCUUCCUUGAAGUUGCCAUUGCAAAUAAAGAAAAUGUCAAGAGCCCACAACCAAAUGUCAAAUGGAAUGCAUCGGAGACCAAACCUGUAACAGUCCAUACAGCAACAAAAAAAAAGAAAAGUUGCACAGUUAGUAUAUACGGAAAAAUGACCAAGAACCAGGGAACUAAACAAACCAAUUCUAACAUGCACCAAUUAUUAUUACAUUGAGCAUUUAACAAACUACGACAUCAGAAACCGGAGAUUGUUUAACGCUUGUGAAACCCUUUCUAGUGUGACUCAAUUGCAACAUAAAACAGAUCUUAAAAACCCAUAAUAAAGGCCUCAGAACACGCACAGUCUCUACUAUCGCUGAGGAUUAGAUCCAUAGUUUAGAAUAUUAUAUCAACUUAGUACUUGAACCUAAAUUUUACAGCUUUAGCUGUUAUAUUUCAUCUUCAACACAUCCAAGUCUCUCCUUCGGCAAAAAUAUCAAGAACUCAAGUAAUCACAACUUGUUUCAGAGAUUCAAUCCUAAAACAAAAGAGAACUGAAACGAUAUCGUACCUACACGCCCAGUGAAGAUCCCAAUAGAGAGCUCUGUUGUAGAAUACAAGACAUUAAGCGCAAUCAGCAGAAACAACCUCUUCAUCUGCCGAUUUCCACUUCUCAGUACUCCAAAAAUCUCCCAAACCAUAUCCAAAACAGAUACUUUUCCUAUUUCUACGUCUUUCCCUUCCCCGUAAAACACAUCAUUCCCGUCAACGGAGUAAAUCUCCGGCGGCAUAUCGAUGCUCGAGACCGUCCUAUCGAGAAAAGGCUUAGCUGCUUCCGUGACCGCCGGCGUUCGUGGACCGUGAGAUUGCUGAAACGAACGAGAAUAAGCAAGCCUCCGAUCAUUAGCAACAUAUCCAACAUCACUGCUGCGAUCAUUCGGGAGCUCGUUAUCGCCUCGAGGAUUAAAGGAAAUGGAUCUCUCCAUUUUUGAUCUUAAUUUCACUAAAAUCAACAGUCGUCUACAAAAAAACUCAGCUUAUACAGUAAAAGUCAAUGGGCCACUGUUCGAAGCCCAUAUAGAAUUUUAUAUGCCUAUGGGCUAUGGAUCGCACUAAACCUUAUGGCCUUGAUUUUUUUUUACUAAGAAUGCUAAAAAUGUAAAUAUUUCAACAUAAACCUUAUGGACUUGAUUGGCUUUUGUUUUUACUUUUUAGUGUUGUUACUAGCAAAUUUUUUUAUAGUGGUUUUAAAUCAUAUCAAAUUUUUCUAAAAUUGUAUAUCCAAUACAAGAAUUAUUUUGUUAAAAAUGCGUGGGUUAGUGUAUAUAUUUAUCAAACGCAACAAACAUUAUACAGCCCAUUAAAUAUGGUUGUUUUAGGUAGAUGUCCCCAUUAAGGAACUUUUUCCAGCCCAUUAAAUUACUUUACAGAGUAGAGAGAUUACAGUUACGUUACCAAAUUUCGAAAUUAUAUUUAUUAGUAAUAAAUAAAUUUAUGAAUGUCAGUUACUCUUUAGAAAGCUAAGACAGCUGUUUCCACCAACAACGUGACUGGUCGUGGGGUCCUCCUUCGUUCAAAGAGAGAUUUCAGAAUCAACGGCUGAGAUCUUCUCCAUCAAUAUUUAUUAUGGGCCUAUUCUUCCUUUUUUAAACUUCAAUUCUCAGGCUCACAUUCUCUUCUUCAUUCGCUCCGUUUCUCUCUCAAACUACACACACGUACGACGACACACCCUCCAGGUUUCCUCAGAGAUCCCUCAAACUUCUAAGGUAAUAACAUUUCCACAAUGUUCUUCGAUUUUAACGUCCUGAGUUCAUCAUUUCAAUCUCAAAUAUUCAAGUAUUGUUCCUGUUGUUUAUAUAUGAAGCUUUUUCAAUUUAAUUCUCUUUGGGAGAUCUUUAGAUUAUAUUCCUCUGUUUGUUGCAAAAGAAAUAGGGUUAAUUUCACGUUCAGUUAUGCUAAUGUUAUUGAGGAAUCAUUUUGAAGGAUAUAGAAAAUGGCAGACGGUGAAGACAUUCAGCCUCUUGUCUGUGACAAUGGAACCGGAAUGGUUAAGGUAAUUUACAUACUUCAAAAUUUGUGUUACCUUUGUUGUUAUGGAUAUAAAUCUGAAAACUUUUUUUAAUUCAUUUCGAUACAAUGCUGGUGUCUGUUUAUAAGAGUGAUUCAUAUAUGUUUCCAAUUCCUUAGGCUGGAUUUGCCGGAGAUGAUGCACCAAGAGCUGUAUUCCCUAGCAUUGUUGGUCGUCCUCGUCACACUGGUGUGAUGGUUGGUAUGGGACAAAAAGAUGCUUACGUUGGUGAUGAGGCUCAGUCUAAGAGAGGUAUUUUGACAUUGAAAUAUCCUAUUGAGCAUGGUAUUGUUAGCAACUGGGAUGACAUGGAGAAGAUUUGGCAUCACACUUUCUACAAUGAGCUCCGUGUUGCACCUGAAGAGCACCCUGUUCUUCUCACUGAGGCUCCUCUCAACCCCAAGGCCAAUCGUGAGAAGAUGACACAGAUUAUGUUUGAAACUUUCAACACUCCUGCUAUGUAUGUCGCUAUCCAAGCUGUUCUUUCCCUCUACGCCAGUGGUCGUACUACUGGUAAGAAGAUCUUCAACACCACCAUUGUUUAUUCCACUCCUCUAUGAUGCAUUGAACAAACUUCAAGUUCAGCUUAUUAGGAAAGUGGACAUUUUGAGAACUACCCUUUCUUGACCUUGUUGCUGUGGAAUCAUUGUCCAUUGUCUUGUGUGUUUCCAGGUAUUGUGUUGGACUCUGGAGAUGGUGUGAGUCACACUGUUCCAAUUUAUGAAGGAUAUGCUCUUCCACACGCCAUUCUGCGUUUGGACCUUGCAGGACGUGACCUUACUGAUUACCUCAUGAAGAUCUUAACAGAGCGUGGUUACUCAUUCACUACCUCAGCAGAGCGUGAAAUUGUAAGGGAUGUGAAAGAGAAACUUUCUUACAUAGCUCUUGACUACGAGCAAGAGAUGGACACGGCAAACACAAGCUCAUCCGUUGAGAAGAGUUACGAGUUGCCUGAUGGACAGGUGAUCACCAUUGGAGGAGAGAGAUUCCGCUGCCCCGAGGUUCUGUUCCAACCAUCUUUGGUGGGAAUGGAAGCUGCUGGUAUUCAUGAGACCACUUACAAUUCCAUCAUGAAGUGUGAUGUGGAUAUCAGGAAGGAUCUGUAUGGAAACAUUGUGCUCAGUGGUGGAACCACCAUGUUCCCUGGAAUUGCUGAUAGGAUGAGCAAAGAGAUCACUGCUUUGGCUCCAAGCAGCAUGAAGAUUAAGGUGGUUGCUCCACCAGAGAGGAAGUACAGUGUCUGGAUUGGAGGCUCCAUUCUAGCAUCACUCAGUACCUUCCAACAGGUAAAAAUCGGUUUUUCGUUACUUUUAUAUCAAAUUUUGUGUCCUUUUUCUUGUUACCCACUUGAAAGUUGUUUACAAUACACAAAAUGUUGUUGGUCUGCAGAUGUGGAUAGCAAAGGCUGAGUAUGAUGAGUCAGGGCCAUCAAUAGUCCACAGGAAGUGCUUCUAAGAUUAAGCUCGAAUCAAAGUGAUGAAUGAUUGUUCUGUAUUGGUAAAGCCUUUUGUUCAUCGACUUUGUUGCAAAAUAUUCUUUUGUUUUCUAUGUUUCUUCACCACAUUUCUUCCUUGCUGUCCUCCUCUUUUGGUAUUUCUGCUACUAAUUGUUAAAGAAUCGUCUUUUAUUAGUUUCUAUUUUUUCCUCUGCUGUUCCCUCUGAAAUCUGAGAAAAAAAAAAGAAAGAUGUAACUAGAGGCAAUGGAUUUGGCCUUUUUAUUUUAGUUUUGUUAAAGGGGUUUCAUAAUUAAAGGGAAAGACAGAGUUCUUUACAAAAAGCUAAUUCUAAAAAAGAGGAAUCAAAAGCCGAACCACAUGAUUGGAGUUAGAGAAAGAAUAGUGAUCUGCCAACAAAAACAAGUACAAUUACAAUUAACUCGGCAUUUUUAAUACAUCCACAUGAUCAACAUUGUCACGGCUUCACUUCACUAUCACAGUGUGGAAUACAGUGCCAGUAAUAAUAAUAAUAAUAAAAUAUCCUACAAUGUGCUCGGUUCACGAAGAUUGAACACCUUGAUAACUUACUCUGACGAAGCAUCAAACAAACAGACAAAAAACAUUGGAACCGUCGAAACUAUGAACCAAAUUCCAAAACCUAAAACUUAGAGAGAGAGCAUUUGUUAGGUAGGUCUUAAACGAGAAGUUGACUCAAGUCAAGAUUCACUGCGUGCAUAACACUUUAAACAAUGCCAACAGGGAGGGAGAUAUUUUUCGUACACAAGAGUUUUACUGUCCGAAGGUCACAUUUCUACGAUCCCAAGAAAACAGCGAUGAGAAGAACAAUACAGACACAAAACAUUUGAACACUUAACUUCCCACGUCACAUAAUGAGCAGCCAAAAUGUCAUAACACAACAGAAUGGACACUAAGAUUAUUGAAACAAAACAUAGCUUCUUAAACAAAAGACAACCAGACAAGAGAAAGGUCGACAAUUUCUUCACCAUCAUCCUCAUAACUUAUUGUUGUACCAGUAAACACCUUUCUUGUCACCUUCCCUGUCCGGUUCUACGUAGAUACACUCCUUUGCCUCCCUAUACAUCGCCACAUACCACGGUGUUCCAUCGAACUGGUAAUAGUCUCCCAGUAUUGGCUUUAUCGCCUUUGUAGCUUCCAUUGCGUUAUAAUGCGGCAUUGUCGAGAACAGGUGAUGUGCCACGUGUGUGUCUGUAAUGUUGUGGAACACCUUGUUCAAGAUUCCAUAGUCUCUGUCUACGGUAGCCAAAGCUCCCCUGAGCCAGUCCCACUCUGAUGAAUCGUAGUGAGGCAAGGAGGGGUGAGUGUGCUGCAAGUAAGUGAUCAAGACGAGGAACGCAUUCACUAUCAGAAGCGGUACUCCGUAGAGGCAGAUCAUAGAGGCCAUUCCUUGUGCAGCGGCGUAACGGUAAAGACCAAAACAGACGGCUAGAAUACCCGCAUCCGAGAGGUAUAUCUGGAGGCGUUCGCGGUCAUUGUAGAUGGGAGCGUUGGGGAAGAAAUGGCAAGCGAACCCGUCAUACGGUCUGCCCGAAACGUUAAAGGCUAAGUACAAGGGCCACCCGAGGACAAACUGGACGGUUAACAUCAUGAUGCGUCCAAGAGGGUUGUUGAGGUAUUUGCCGUACCACUUGAUUGCGGAUUUCUGUUUUGGGACAAAUACUUCAUCUCUUUCGAGGGAUCCCGUGUUGGAAUGGUGACGGCGAUGACUAUACUUCCAGGAGAAGUAAGGGACGAGGAGGAAGGAAUGGAAGAUAAGACCGACUGUGUCAUCCAGCCAUUGGUAGUCGCUGAAUGCGUGGUGACCGCAUUCGUGGGCUAUGACCCAGACACCAGUUAGGACACAGCCUUGACAGGCCCAAUAGAGUGGCCAAGCCAAGUAAGAGAGAGGCUGAGGUAGGAGAGAGAAGUAAUUGGUGGCAACGUAGUAGAAGCAUGAGGCAAUUAUGAUGUCACCGAUAAGGUAGGAGAAAGAGCGAGGGAUUGAGCGUUUGAAACAAUGCUGGGGGAUUGCUUUCUUCAGAUCUCCCACCGAGAAAGGCGGUUUCUCGCACGGCACACGCUUUAUGGUGUCGGUUUCCGAUUUCUUGGAAGAAGUAGGAACCGGCAUUCUUCCACCUGCACCCAUGUUUCUGCAGAAAACAAAAAAAACAAGAGCAAAAAUAAUCAAGAAGCUGAAAACUCAAAGACUAGAGAAUAGUCAAUCUAAAAGACUUGUUUAUCAUUAACUGACAAUUUCUACAAAUCAAUGCAUGCAUAGGAAACAAGUGGGUAAAGAUAAAAUCAGCAAACAAUUAUUGUUCAGACAAAUGAUCUAAAGUGGAGAUGAGUCUGUGAAAGAGAUUGCCACAAAUGGAAAGUGCGUGGACCAAAAGGAAUAAAGAGUAGAGAAGCGGCGUAAUGUAAGAACACACAAAAACGAUUGCGUUGAAAAUACGAUUUAAAUAAGACAGGUCACAUCUCUUGCUUGAGGGUUAUCAUCAGAUUCUUGUAAUAAAAAUUCAACAGUCAAAAUCACAACAAAUCUUAUUGAAUACCAAGUGGACAAACAAAGCCAAAAGGAAACAGUUGAAGUGAUGUAUAAGCCACCGGAAUUAGUCGCCAUCAUAUAUCAGCAGAAUUAUAAAUUUAAACAGAAAAUAAUAUGUCACGGAUCUAUAGCAAAUUUUCAUGCAACUCUAAUUGCAUCUGAAUCAAUGAAAGAGCAUCUGAUCCUGAAUAACCCUGAUUCCAACUUUAUUUGAAAUGUUUAAGUGAAUCAAUAAAACUUUUUUCCCUUUUCUUACGUAUUUUUUAUUAUAAAAAAACAAUAGGAGGUAUAGGAAAAAAAACCCAGCAAAGAUUCAACAAUAGAAGCAGAUUUUAACCCAGAAAAAUUAGUCAAAAUUGAAUACAUUAACGAGACCAGGACAAAUUUAAAAAAUUUCCACCAACCCACCAGAAAAUAAAAUAAAAUAAAGAUCUAAACAGAUUGGUCAAAGCACGAAAAAAAAAAGAAAAGAAAAACAAAAAUCAUGCAACAAAUCGUUACGGGGACGAUAGACAUUUAUCAUUGUAUGAAUGAGAGAGUCAUUAUUAUUAUUAAUGGUGACUAAACACGAUCAACAUCAGAUUUCUCGACCAAAACAAAAAAAAAAAAAGAUAGAAACAGAGAAUCGGAGACCAGAUCUAAGGUUGAAUGUAAGGACUACAAGCAGAUCUAUCGUUAGAGGGGACAAAAAAACACAGACCACCAGGAGAAACUGGAAAGAAGUAAGAAUCGAAAAUGAGAAAAGAAGGGACGGACCUGGAGUUUGAGCUGACGUAGGGAGAUAACGUUAAUAACGAUGAACACCCUACGAAGAAGAAGCUCCUCCGCAGAAUCUCUCUCUCUCUCUUUUCUCUCUUCUCUCUCUCUUUUUAUUUAAUUUGUGAGUGUGUGGCUCUUCUUCUGGUGGUCAGAUGCGAAUAGGAAGAGACAGGCCUUUAAAUGGACACGGCCCGUGGGUUGAAGAAGGUAGAGAGAGAUUGUUUCAUGACACCUUUCCCUUUCAUACUGGGCCCCCUCUCUUAUUUCCCUUUUCUCUAUUCAAAAAUAUCUGAUUUUUUUUUAUUUUCCGCAAAUAACUCUUUUUUUACGAGACAAAAAAAAAUACAAAGAAAUUAGCAGUGAACAUAAACUUUUUAAUAUCACGUUCUAAUUUAAUUAAUUUUAAAAAUGGCUAAUUGGUAGUCAAAGAAAGCAAAAAAAAUUCUACAUAUUCUCUUCGUAUAGUAGUUUUUGACAUAAAUGUAAGUAAAUUUGUAUUGACUUAAUGUCUUCCCUUAUUUUUUCUCUUAUUCUAAAGUUUCAUCCUAAUUUUUGAUAUGAGCUUUUAAUGCUUCCAUUUGCAGCUGCCAGCUGAUACUCCAAGUUUGGGUCUUUGGUCUAUUUCUAACAGAGUUUCACUUUAGAACAUUUGUUAUAGGUGAUACUCAUAAAAUAUCUUUAAGAAUUUUUUAGUAUUAUUUAUUAUGUUUAUUUAUUGUUUGAGAUUUUUUUAUGAUACUCUUACUAAAUAUGUUUUUAUUGGUGAGACCGGUUUAAAUAUCAUUAAAAAAAAAUUAUUUGCAGAAUCAAAAAUAAAUAUAUAAAACAUAGGAUUACAAAAUGUAAUACUCUCUCCGUUUCACAAAGAGUGUCAUUUUGACGCAUUUCACAUAAAUUAAGAAAACAUUAAAUUAUACAUAUAUGCCCUAUUUAAUAAGUGAUUAAUGAUUUAAAUUUAAUGAGAAAUAGCUUUAAGUUAAGGGUAAAUCAGGAAAUUUUGUGUAAAACUCACAUUGAAAAUGUGGAAUGACACUCUUUGUGAAACAAGAAUCAAACUCUAGAAUGACACUCUUUAUGAAACAGAGGGAGUAUUACAAUAAAAAAACCGUAGAAUAUACUUAUGCAAAAUAAACAUAAAAUUUAAAAAAAAACUUAAAAAAACAUGAUGAUAAAAAUAAUUUAGUCGCUUGAAGCCAAUUAUGAAUAUAUAUAUUUUUUCUGUUUUCAGGGAAAAACGUGUUUCUCAGACUAAUCAGCUGCCGCCACGUCACCUGAUACUGGGUAUCAGAAGUAUCACUCCAGUUAUACUAAUCAGGCCCAAUUUGAUACUCUGAUCUAUUAAAAAAUUAUUAAUAAGCUCCUGAUACUCUUAUUAUAUCAGCUACGCACAUGGUUUUAUAGUCGGUAAGUUACUCCGUAUAUUAAUUUAUUAUCUCCUCUAGUAUAGUAUGGACUGAAACUCAAACUAAUCUCUAAAAUAUGUAGAAAUACCGAAUAUUUUUGUUGUUUAUCACCAAAUAAUAAUGAAUUUAGAAUCAUAUGAAAAUAAAGAAUCGUAAGUGAUGUGAACCAAACCAUGGUCUCAAUACACAUGGCAAAUCUUUCACCAUUAUAACUUAACCAUUUGCAACUUGGUUGGGUGGAGCUUUUUCAUACUUAAGUUUCAUCUCUAUUACUAUUAGUUUUGCUUAUUGCAGACAAUUUAUUUAAAAUGAGGAAACGUCCUCGGCGACUUACACAAGUCGUAAGCAAGUGGUAGGCGGGAAAAGGGCUAAAAGUGGAAAACAGACUUUUACGUUUGGCUUCAUCUGUCAUGUGAAACAUUAAAAAAUCUACAGACAAUGUGUUGUGGUGGACUGGUGGUCACGUGUAUGGAUGGAUACCCAGACGUGAUGCACUUUGGUAGAUUCGUGCGGAUUUUCUCUUGUUAAUGUAUUCAAUUGUAUUCUUUUUAUUACUAAUAAUCAAAUUAGGUGGCUGACGGAAAAAACAAGUAGGCGCUGACAAGUAAUCCCAAUUAAUUAAAUGGGAUGAUUAAAGUCUCUUUGCAUUGGAGUUCUAGUUUUCUAAGCAUUACCGCUUAUAACGAUACAGCUUAAUUUCAAUAUUUUUAAGAUCAUCCGUCACCAACCAUUAUUUUGUUCUUUUCCUUCUAUCAAUGACGGAACCGUUUUUAACAAGAAACACUUUCAUUAAACACUUUCAGUGUUAUUUGAUGUCAAUUCAAACAAUUAGCUAAGACUCUUAACAUAUUCAGAAAAUCUUAUGAAAAUUAUAUAAGUGACUCACAUAUGACAUAAACGGAGACAACAAGAAUAUGAAUAAAAGGCGUCAUACAAUCCUAACCACUGUUUCUAAGUUUGUCAAUCAUUUCUCUUCAAGCCUCCCAUCUGAAUUCAAACUCGAAACUAAACUAUAAAAAAAAAAAAAACACCAAAUAGAAAAAACUUAAAAUGAUAAUGAAACUAACAUUGUAUUCUCUCAUAACCAACAAAACAAAGUAGGUGAAGAUGAUAUCAGAUAUCACCACCACUAAAGAAGUAACUAGUUUUGCCAGCAAAUUCUCCACCUGCAAGCAACAACUAGGCGAUUGACCUGCGUAGCUCUGCUUCCCCAUGAGCAAAGUGACAUCUAUCACCAAAUGUACAGUUUCCUUUAGAGUAUCUCUCACAUAUCUUAGUCUUAAAGUUGCUCCCUGGAUGCGGUUUCCCUUCAGAACCCAUGCCACCACCACCAAGACCGCCAGGUGGUUUCUUAGCUGCUGAAUUAAGCCUCCCAAUCAAUUCUCUUACCAUUGCACUCGCUUCGUUUAUCUGCUCAAAUGUUCCUUCAAGCUCAAUGUUCUUCAAGUUUGGGUCUCUCUCGUGAUCUUGAAUUGAUAACUUUGCCCCCGUCUGACGACAUAUCUGCUUUGAACUGACUCCACCUUUUCCAAUGAUUGCACCGGCUAAAGAGGCAUCAACACUAAUUUUGGCAGUGGCUGAGGCACCAAAGCUAGAGACAUGGCCAGGCCCAGACUCCCCCCUCCCUGAGAAUCGGCCUCCAUUACCAGAACCUUGCAUGUUUCUGGAAACUUGAGGCAUGGGUGGUCCCAUAUUUGUCAUCUGCGCUACAGCAUUGUAUCCUCCGGGAACAUAAUGCAGGAAAUGACAAUUCUCUCCAAAAGGACAGCCAGAAGUGCUGCAAUAGAAGCAUAAUACAUCAGAGAUUUAAACCCAAUGGGAAUACAAUAGCACAAGAACAGACCAUUAAGACACAGAAGAAAUGGCAUAUUGAUCCAAGUAUAACUGCAAUGUUCAUUGCUAUGAGAGAAUAAACAUAUUAUUCCUGUUCCGAUUACUAUGCAGGACAAGUUCACUAGCAAUGCAAGAACUUUACCUGACCAUAAAUGACUAUAUUAUAAACCCAAAAUCACUAAUACCCUACAACCAAAUAGAAGAGCAUAACACCUUUCUCAACAACUCUUAUAGCUCAAAAAAAAUACAUGAUUUGUUUUUUUGUAUGUUAUAAUCACCAGUUGAACUAAAUGUUUCUCAAAUUAUGAUCCAGAUACGAUUAUAUGUUCGUAGUAGGCGUCACAUUUACAGAUUGAAACUUGUUUACAUACCUGUAUAACAACUAACCACUUCAUUAGCAUACAGUAUUAUUUGUUAAUUUCGGGAUCAGACUUGCAGGUAGAUAACAAUUAGCAUAUUAAUUCAUUAAGUAAAAGGAUUAUAACCUGAAAAAUUUUGUGCAUGGCUUCGAUUUGCUUCCUAAACCAGUUGAAUAUGAUUCCAUCUCUGUUCCAAACAUUAAGUGUUUUACUUUAGUUAAAAACUUAUCUGAAGUUCAAUAUAUUGCUUUUAGAAUCCAAUAUAUCAUUCAUACAUUCAUCUAUAUGAAACUUUCAAAUCAAAAGAUGCAUAAUUUUUUGAAUGUUUUCAGGAUCACUAACCAACUGGACACAAAAACACUUGACAGAGGAAAAAGGCUUAUUCAAUCAAGAAAACCGAAUCUUUUGGAAUGGUUAUGAACUGUUAUUAGCUUAUACUUGAAAAGAGGGAUUAACGGAAAGCAAUACUAAAAACUCAAGAGACAGUGAAAGAUUUAAGCCUGAGACCAACAAUCCCUGCAAUUAACUAUAGUAACAACUUAGCAAAAGCCGAUCCAUCAUCACUCAAUUUAGAUUUAAUCAGAUAAAAAGGCCAGUACUUUUUGCAGUUAUCUAGCUAAUUAACCAGAUAAGUAAGCAAGCAGGACACGAAAUCACCAAAAGAAAGCACUGAGAACGAAAGAAGAAAAUUUUGCCUCCUAGUAAAUCUCAUAACUAGCAACAAAAAAAAUCCUAAUUUUACCCAGAACUGAAGAUCUCAAAUUUAAACCUUUAUCAGAGCCAGUGAAGCAUAAGAACUAAACAGAUCGUAGUAACAUAAUUCUAGUAGAUAAAGAGUAAAGGAAGCAAGAAACAGUGAAAGAACUAACCUUGCUUAGACUUCUUGUAUCCGCCGCCAUUGGAGUUGAAUGAGCCAACUUCAGGCCGUCCUCUCUUACGAGUAUCCAUGAUUAAGUACAGAUCCGAUUCGAAAGAAGAAAUCAAAAACCUUAUAGUCUAGAGAGCGAAUGAAAAGCGAAUCGGAGAAGACAAAUCGAAAUCGGAAUAGGGGAAAAGAGUUAGAGAGAGAGAAUAAGCGAGAAAAUAAACCUAACCCUAACUAAGGUGGUUGUCGUCGAGGGAAAAAGAUGAGAUUUUCCUUUUUUUGUUUACUCUUCCCGGUUUUUUUAAUUGGAAAUUUAAACCGGAUUGGCCCAAUGCACAAACUAAAAUGUAAACCGAAAUUUCCCUGAAAAGGAUAGAAAACCGGAAUUGUAAGAUUUAACUUAACGUGAGCCGUUAAAUAAGCGAUGCGCCAGUUACGAUAAGCUUAAAUGUAUAAUGACGUCAUGUUUGCCUUAUUUGAUCUCUUUGUACCGUCAACAAAAUGAACCUUUUACCAGCCCAAUAAACUCGGCCCACAACUUCUUUCAAUGGCACAAAGCCACAAACUUUCAAUUCAAAGUGUAUUUUCAAAAAUCAUAUGAUAAUUCUAAGGCCUCUAUGAAAUUGCAACCAAUAAAAAUGUAAGUUAAAAAUAUUCGGGAUUUGUGGAUGAUUGGGCUUUUGUUUUUAAUAUAUUUACCCAAUCACACUAAGAAAAAUGUGAAAUAGGAAAAAUUAAUAACCAAGAGACUCAAAAGCUUAAAGCUGAUAGACAUUCUUGAAUGACUCCAUGAGUAUUCCCUACAACUACAAGAACCAAAAAAACUAAGGCUAUUAAUAUCCGCACCGGUUGAAUCUUGCGGAAUGCAACAGGUUGGUCCUUGUGAGCCUCCCUAACAUGUUCCUUGGCCAUCACAAAAUCAUCUUCUUCAUCCUCAUGAGCCUUCUUGAUUCCUUCUUCAUCUUCCAACUCCUUAAGCUUAAACAAAACGUUUGAAUCAACCAACAAGUCGGAAACAUUAUGAUCAUCAUCAUCAAGAUCAGUUUGAGGAAUUAUUUCGUCUUCUUGACAAGCCAAAAUGUAUUUGUUGUUCAACCCCUCAGCUAUGCAACUCAAUCUUUCUCUUCGAUCUAAUAGCCUUUCGCACGCAGUGUUCUUCACAGACAUUACACCCUCUUCCGUCCUCAUAUUGCUAAUCCUCAAAAACGUUUCUUCUUCUUUGUCUUCAUAUCCUCCCAUUCCACUAGUCAUCUCUUCAAUCAGUUUCCAAUCUUGUUCUCGUAUUUGUAUCAAACAAGUCUCCUCGCAGACAACUACCAAUGGUUUAUUCAUAAACAGAGACUUUAGACUAUAGAAAAGAACAGCCUGAUGUGCAACGCUGUAACCGCACGAACCCGAAGCAUCCACAAAGAAUAAAACAAGAGCAGCUCGAAGAUGACGAGUCAAUGCGGCUAUAACAUUGCCGUCUCCAAAUGUAGGCCUAUCCAAAAUCUCAAUCACUUGGUACCUCAAAUCCUUGUACUCAGUAUGACCAACAACAAAAUUCACUAGCGAUGAUUUAGUGGUGUAAUCAUCACUAGCUCCGGUGUUGAUUCUGUUCAUAAAACAAGUCUUGUCCACAUUAGGGUACCCACAAACCAAGAGAGUUGGAGUGUUUAUGUCAAUCCAAGGAAGCCUUACCAUGUGUUGUCUGAUCUGCUCUAGAUAAGCCAAACUAGGAGUGAUUUCGUUUAUAACACUAAACAUUUGUCCAAUAGCACUCGUUUUUAGGACUUUGCAUUGCUUUAAAGAUUCACCAAACUCGAGUUGCGUUACAUAAUCAUUAGAUAUAUCGGUAAUCAUGUGUCUAGCAGUAUUCACUUGACCUAGACACAACUUGUAGUGAUCUCUAUCGAAACUCAAGCGAAGAAGGUCAUUGUAUA
rnacentral:lncRNA from 1 species